rnacentral:lncRNA from 1 species
CACUGCAACAGCUCGGUUUUCAUUCUAAAAAGCUCCUUUCAUUGCAACAAAAACGCAGCAGCUUUUCAUUCUCCCUUCGCUGAACUAAUGACAAACAAUAUCACCGCCUCACAUUGUUCAAAUAAUUUGCAACAUCACUUGCAUGAAUCUGUUUUUUAAGCUCAAGUUUACAUUAUUUAAAAUAGUGAAUAGCAUGAAAAAAGCAAGAUAGUAGCCCAAGUUUACACAAAUCUAUUGUUUUACCUUCCUUUCACAUUGAAUUCUGAGUCAAGGAGAAGAAAUCCAUUUCCCUCAGCAUUUCCAUCCUUAUCUCCAAGGCAUGACACCAGGAUAUCACCCGAAGCAAGGCAAUGAGCCGUGCGAGGAUAAGAUAAUCAUGGCUUCUGUACAAAAUUUGCAGGCUCAACAACUUUAUGCAAAGAGGGAGCCCUUGGAAUUUUUUUAUCUGUCAACUACGUAUAUACAACCAGAUCUGAAAGUAACAACGAUAAUUUAUUUAAAUUCUUUUUCUUUACAAAUCUUGAUGCAUUUAUAUAAAUCAAUUCGUUCAAAAUCCAAAGCUAAUAUCAAUACAACUCAAAAUCACGAUACCCUCAACAAUAACCAUUCAAAAUCCAAGUGGCCCAAAUGGGGUAGAGAGAGUGAUGAAACUGAGAUCGAGAGAUUGGGGGAGAUCGGAGCCGAGAGAGUGUGGCAAAACAGAUCCAGCGAGAAUGAGGCAGUACAGAGCUUAGAGCGAGAGAGAAUAGUGUCUAGAGAAUGAGGAAGCUGCUAGGUUUUUGUUGCAGUGAAAGGAACAAGGUUUUUUGUUGCAAUGAAAGGAGGCAAACGUGAGUGUGACGAGCUGGGAAGAGCAUGAGCGUGAGCGUGUGUGUUCUUGUGCACGUUUGAAGAGCGUUUUAAAACAAAACGCACCGUUUUGUGCAAACGUUUGUGCGCGAAUGUGUGAGAACAUCAUUUUCCUAUUUUUUACAUGUACUUUCAAAAAAAAACUUUACAUAUAUUAUUGGGGACUCGUGCUUCUGCUGACCCAUUGAAUAGAAAUCUUCACUUUUGAAAUUUUGAAAAAUAUGUUGCAUUACACUAUCAUGUGUUAUAAAGUAUGUGUUCAGUUUUCUUUAAUUAGUUGAACAAUUUGCAUACAAAUAGCAGCCAAUCAUUUUUAUAGAAAAUGUGUAUGCACUGAAAAUGAACUUUUAGCUAUAACAUACCUAAAAUCUGGCUUAAGAAAUUACAAGAAAAUACUAGUUUAGUUAUAAAAAAAAGAAUGAAAAAAAGGAAAUAUUUCUCAUCCGUACAAUUUAGAAGUUUCUUUUAUUUCUAUAUAUUUAUAUUUUUGCGGGUAAGAUCUUCCACUACUGAUUAGUGCUAGACUUUUUUUGGGGUUCAAUUGUUAUUAUUGCGACAUGGAAAUGGUAUCAUAUCUUGUAACCCAUUUGACUACAAUGGCAGAAAGAAUUACGGCAUAUAUGGUGCCAUUAAUCCAGCAUCUAGCCCCACCGAAAGAAGCUUCACAGUUCAAUACGGAAAUUUCUCAUUUUCCAUUGUGUAAUCAGUUAUAACUCUGGCCAAAUGAAAUGAAUUAAUCUUAUCCUCAAAUUAAUUCUAGUUUCAAGUAUUGAGUAUUCAGUUAAGUCAACCUACACAUAGUUUCUUUAGUACUUGCAUGGGGCCUUAUAGCUCUAAAUUCGUGGCAAUUAAUUUAUUUUCCCUAUCCCAUUUCCAAGUUCUGUGGGACAUAGAAUUUGGGAAGAUAAGCCCCUUAUCACCGACAAAUCUUUCCGGUUGGUUCUUUGAUUGAUCUUAGUUUCAAUUUGUUUCUGAAGAAUAAGAAAAAAUGGUCACCCAGCAAUAAUAGGCGAAAAUGAUUGAUUUCCUGAACUGUUGUACAUGGCUUGAACCCCACUAAAGACUUUUCAAAACUUGUUAGCCCUAACUUCAUCUCAAAGGGCACCGGAGUUUCAAAUUGUUAUGCAUUUUUAUAAAGUCUCUUUCGCUAUGUCUAUGCGAUCAUUGUAAAUUGUAUUGAAAAGGACUUCAGCAUUGUUGCCAAAUACAAAAUGCAAGAUUCAAACAGUUCCAAGUGGAAAAUUUGAACCCAAUGUUCAACAUGUUCAUUUUAAAUGCUAUGACAUUAUUACCAUCAACUUCUCGAAAUUGAAAAGAUAUGUCUAAAUAUCGGCUAAUAAUUCUCCCGUCUAUCUGUUCGCACAUUUUAAAAUAUGUAAAUUUGAUAUUGAACAACAUUGUUAAAUAAUUAAUUCUUUAAUGUUAUUAUUGCUAGGCAAUAUAGCGUAGUUUCAAAUAUAUCCUUAACUCAAAACAUGCACUUUCAAAUUGUGAACGGGAACAACAAAGCUCAACUUGAAACAGAACUAACUACACAUAACACCUUGUAAUUGUAAUGCUAAGUAAGCACCAUACUUUAUCUUUUAAUGAGAAGCAUUUACGGAAAAAAUAAAAUAAAAUAAACGAACCACAUGGAGUGUGUUAAACAGAUACAUUUUCACAUUAUAACACAAUGUGUAAAUAGUUUUUUGUUCAUAUUAACAUAUUAAUUUUCAUAUUCCUUUUCAAGUAUUUUCAUGUCCCGAAUAAACACUACAAGCAAAAGACAUAGAACCCCAUGAUAAUUCAAACCGCAUAUGAAAAAAUAAGUAGCCAAGUUCCAUUUGAAGUAAGGGAUGAUAAUGAGAAUGAGGUAAUUGGUUUCAAGUCGCUAUCAUUUAGUGCUUUCUUACGACUGUAAGAACGCUUGCUCGUGGCACCCAUUUGCAUGCUUUAUUUAUAUUUAUUUAUUCAUUUUCUCCUCAUCUUAAAUUCUUUAUUAGGGGAAAAAUGGAAACAAUUUAUAAAAAGUAGGCAAAUGAGGCACUAUUACCUAUUGCUUUGGCAUUGUUCAUGUUGACCUAUCAGCUUAUGUACCAGUGUAAAACCAUCUGUAUCUUGACAAUUAUUUGCACAAAAAAGGAACCCAAAUGAAAAUAAUUAUUAGUUGAUAUGCUUCUUGUCUUUGUUUGACUUUGGAUGCUUGUUUUAGAUUGCUCAAAUUUUGUCAACUCAUUGAUAUUAGGGUUUUGAGUGAUCUCCCCUUUCUCGAGGCUUCUCUCUCAUUCUUAGAAAGCAAAUUCGAAAAAAAUUUGCAAUUGCACUUUCUAACUUUCACCCCCCCCCCCUUCCUUUGUGGUCCAUGGAUUAAUUGCAAAUAUUCUAAUAAAGUUGACCACUGCAUGCAUCCUGUCAAAGGAAUUAAGCACCAGCAUAUGCAAUUACUAUAUGCCUGUUGUAGAUGUCGACUGAAAAUUUUCUGAAAUCAAGUCCAAUAUUAAUUCUACGUAUGAAGCCAUAAUGUAAUUAAUUGAAAAGCGAGGAAGUGAAAUGAAACAUAUAAACAUUUUGAGUUAGCGCAAAGUUCAAUCUCUAAAUACACUACUCAUAACUUUUAAGUCGGAUUUUUUUUUUCUCGUUUCAGAAAUAUUUAGUUCUUCGCUAAUAAUUAUGUUCUAUUGUUUAUGGGAUUUGAAUUCCUUAAUGAUUUGAUCUUAUACUUAGGUUCCAUUUAGUAUAAUUUUUCAAAUAGAGCUUAUUUAAGUAGAUUUUUUUUUAGUAGAGCUUUUACAAAUACAACUUUCACUAAAAAAAAAAAAUUAAUUGUUUGAUUGUCAAUUAGAGCUUUUAUUAGAAAAUUCGAAAAUUACUUUAAUAAGUAAGUUAUUUAAAGUCAAGUUAUGAAAGGAAUGAAAUAAGGUUAUGAAAUAAGUAAAGAAUAUUUUAGGCAUUUUAACAUUUAAAAAAAAAUCAACCUCUAUUUUCAAAAACCCAAAAUUUGAUCUUUUACUAGGUGAUGGAAAAUAACUUAUUUAAUCUUCAAAAGCUCUACUCAAAAACUGAUUAAACAGUAACAAAGAAAAUUAAAAAUAGUUUAUGGGAUUAAAUAAUCACUUAUAGUUAUUAGAUAAGUUGUACCAAAUAGAUAUUUAACAAAAUACAAUGCUUGUUAUCAGAUAAAAAGUAGAAGUAGUUGAUUUAGUUCGAAUUAGUAAAUAUAAUUCAAAUUCAAUUGUAUGAAUUUAUUAGCAAUAUGCAAGGUGAAAGGAUAAAUUAUCAGAUGAUCUUCUCUUGACUAUUGGUUGAAUGAAGGUAUAUCUCCUAGUUUCUCACUACUGAAAUUAAUAUAUAUAACUUAUUGCUAUUGCUUUUGUAAUAUCUAACAAUCUGCUAACACAAAAAUAAAUUAAGAGAAAAGAGGGACAAAUGAGUCAUUUUUUUAAUAUUUUAUCUUUAGAAUAUAAAUAAUAGGUAUUAUAAGAUAAAAAUAUUUAAAAAUAAAAAAAUAAAUAAUCAUAUUAUUAAUUUUUAUACACACUCAAAUCAAUAUUUUUUAUUUUUAGAAUUUAAAUCUCUUUGUUUUAAUUGUAAUUUAUACGAUUUAUUUAAUUUAUAAUCAAUAUGAAUUAAAAAUUUUUUAAAAAAUAAAGGUAAUACUGAAAAACUAUGGUGUUAGGAGGGUUAUUAGAUAUUAUGAAAAUAGUAAGGGAUAAGUAGUGUAUGCUGAUUUUUGUGGGAAAUUUUGAUAAUCUGUCUGUGAACAAAUUAGAUAAAGGUGAUGAAAUUGAUAGUUGUUAUUCUUAAUGUUUCUAUUAAUAAUAACAAAAGUUUUAUAUAUAUAUAUGCUAAAAAGUUUCUAUUUGAUACUCUGGUAGCCAGCAUAACUAAUAGAAAGCUUUUUUAAAACCAAGAUGCCUUACAAAAAAUUUUUAAGGUUAGCCCUGACAAAAGGCAUCACAUUCGAAAAUUUAGACAAAAGAGAACCUUUUCAUCCACUCUUAACUUAAGCUCAUUGUAUUUAAUAAUUAUAGGUAACCAUAUAACUAACGAAUCUAAAAAGAUCAAUUAAGGCCUCUGUUUAUGGUGGUGGCACGAAUCUUCUAAUAAUUUAUAACAGUAUGUUUUACUCAAAUUAAUGUUUAAAGAAUUCAGCAAAGUGUUUUGCCUCCUCUUCAGUGGAAAUUUUGGACAAAUCUUCUUAGUUAGAAGCUUCACAAUUAGGGGACUUAUAUUUUAAGAAUGCAUGUUUGGGCAAUUUAUGCAAAUGUCGGGAGAAAGAAAAAUUAUUUUUAUCAUUCUAUCGAGGUUGAGAAAAGAGGGGAAAGAAGGAGAAAAAGAAUAAUCUUUUUAUUAUCGAAUUAAUAAGAACAACUUAAGUAAUGAAAUAAAAAUGUGGGAAACAAAACUAUUAAUUAGAAGAUGUUAGCCCCACUUGUAGGGAUGAUAAAGACUAAAGUAGCACCAAGGGUUAUAUACUUUGUGUCCCAUGUAUCUUUGAUAAUUAAUGGCAAACAAGAUAUGCUUAUUUGCACAAACGAUGAGAUAAAUUGCGGCUACUUAGAUUAUUGACGUACAAUUUUUCAAAGGAACAUGUGGGCAACCUAAUGAGAACCUAUAGAAGAAUUGAUAGAAGAUUUCAAAGCCUUUACCUUACGAUCAUAAAUAGAGAAAGAUUUAGCAUAACAUAUUUAUAAUAAAGUGAUUGGAAAUGUAGCUAGGUUCCUUUAAGCCACUACAACCAUGAAAAGCUUGAAAGAAAAAUUAUAUGAGACUGGUCAAAAUAUUCUCGUUUCCAUCAAUCUUCACAUUGUUUCAUCUCGAAGCAACUUUCAUGGAGACUGAAGUUUGAUCCAAAGACGAUAACAAACAUUUCGAAUCUUUAAAAACAAUUUAAUUACUUUUUUUUUUUUUUUUUCAUCUUGGCUUCGGUCUCUCAGUUUAAAGGAGAGAUUAAGCAUUUCUCAAAGAAAGCAAUUAUACUAAUUGUUUGCAUCAUAAAUUUUCUAAGAUUUUGUAUACGGCAUGUAAAAUGUACUGUAUUUUAUUUUCUUUUAUCAUUUUGUGCCACAAGUAUAAUGGGGCGAAGUUUAAAUUAAUUUUUUCAACCGCCUACUUCCUUUAAGAUUCACACUCUUGAUCAGGUGGCCAGCCGAAAAACUAUUCAACUAGAUCUUUGAGUUUUUUUUUUUAUUAAUUAAUUACCAAGAUAUUUUUCUUUAUUAAUUAUCAAUAAGAUAUAUGUAUUUUCUAAUUGAAAUAAAGAUUGAUUACCUAGUAAUGAAUCCCUUAUUUUUACUAUAAGAUAAAAAAAAACACUUACUUCAAUAUAGUGUAUUUUGUUUUAUAAUAUAGUGAAUAAAGUGUGUAUUUUUCUUGUCUUUUAAUUGAUCCCUUAUUUUUAAUAACACAACAUAUCCCAUAUUAAAAAUUUACUCUUGAAAUAAAAGUUAAAAUCAAUAGAGAAUCGUGAUCUGAACGAAUUAGUUAGACAAACUUUUUACUUGGCUUGUUUAGUGCAAUUCUAUAGUUAAUGUAACUUUCAAUAUUAUCUAAGAAAUUAUUUACUUUCUUCACCAAAAUUAUUUAGAGCAGACCGGAAAAGGACCCCACUUGUUUUUGCAACAUAUUUAUAGCCACAUGAAUUUUAAAUUGUUUUUUUUUUUUCACAAGAGGGUGAGAAACAUCAACUUAAUUAGUGGAUUAUUUUUAAGGAAUAAUAUUUGUGCCAUCAUUUCAAACUAAUGAUGAUUAGUUCCAAAGAUACCUUAGAUUUGUUAAGAUUAAUGACUUCAAUGGAAUCGUCAAUGGUGACAACACUGAAUUUAAUCAUUGAUUAAGAACCUUUAGGUGCUUCUGAUUUGAUCACUCAUAAAAAAGUAAAUAAAUUUUUAAAUGUCAUCAUCUAAGAAUUUUCUUUUUCGUUUUCUUUAAAACCUUAACAUGUAUCAACGGAAAAACUGAAUCUCUUACCUUUUGAGCCGGUUUUGGACCUGUAUUAAUUCGAUACAUAUUGUAAAAGCUUAUCGGUUGAACCAACUAUAGUAAGUAAAAACUGCCUAUCUCUUUCAGAAAGAUAAGAAAAACCAAAACGUAAGUACAAGAAAUCUUUCUAUUGGAACUUCUAUAUAUAUAGCAACUAAAGCUUACAAUUAAGUCACAACCGAGAACGAUAACCCCGAAUUUGAAAGCAAUGGCUAAUGAUAAGGACGGCGCAACAAUAUUAACUACUUGUUAGCCAGUGCAUGUCUUCUUCAUACAUACACUCGAAACUCUACACAUAUAAUUAAUAAAUUAAUUAAUCAAUUAUACCCAGCAAUAUAUGGUAAGUACAUAAGACUUGCCAUAGCUUCUUGCAGCCACUCCUCAUCUUGUUUCAUCUGAAACACACAAGUAAAUUAUCAUCAUUAGAACAUGAACAUAAACUCAUACCCUUUUUGGUCUAUUUAAUCUUGAGAAAGAACAACAAUCAAUUUCCUAGUAAUUAUUUUUAAAUCCUUUUAAUCUAAUCUAAAGCAACUUAUUUGAGGAGAGUUGUUACCUGAACAUCAUCGUCAACACAGUAUGGAUUCUUGCCUUUGUGAGAAUUAUCAUCGUUCUUCAUCACCGUCUGAUCUUCUUCGCACAGCUCAUUAUUCCUCGCGAAUCUCCCACGGACACGUACCCGGCGGUCUGCUAGGGUUUUGCGACAUGCGUACUGUAUAAUAAAUAAUAGAUCACAAUGAAUUAUUAAGUAGAAAAAAAUAAUAAUAAUUGUUUGUGCGAAAAAAUAAAAAUAAAAACCUUGAUGGUCUUGUUAAAGUUCCUUUGAUUUUUCUUCUUCAAGUAUCUGAGAAUUCGAUCUUUCCUUUCUUCAACUGAAUACCGACCAACUUUUAUAACAUUAGCGUCUUCCAUUGAUGCCAUUUGAUUAUUUUGGAUUCCCUGCAUACAUACAUAUAAUAUAUAAUUAGUAAAAGAUUAUUCACAUAGCUUUAACUAAUUAAUUCCCAUGCAAAAAUCUUUUUUAUCAAUUUAAAAAAAACGUAAAAAUAAAAAACAAACAAAUUAGUUACCCAAUUUUCUCCGGUAGCUGGAUGCAUAGGCUUCAAAUCAUGCAUAAAAGCACAGCAGUCAUCUCCAAACUCACAGGCAGCGGAGGGAAGCUGGAAUCUGGCACCAUAGUUUUGAAUCUCAUUAGUCCCACACAUGGCCAUGCCGUUAUAUUCAGCCAAUGUAGGCACCAUUGAGUCGUAUAUUCCGAGUUGUUCAGCCGUAAAAGGAAUCAACGGAGAAGAGGAAACGACGUCGGAUUCCGGUGCCAGAAUAUUUUCAAAAGAGACUAUUGGAAAGUUCUCUUCAGUACCCCAUAUUGGACCAUUAUUACCACUUGAAACCGAACCACCACAGCUAGAAACUGAAUUGCCAGGGCACUCGCCAUAAUUAGUACUCUCUCCGGCAGCUGCCAUGGCUGCCGAUAUCGGAUACGGAAACUGGGAAAGCUCCGCACUUGAAAAUGAAUCAUCAGAGUAAAACUGGGGAAUUGAAGCCAUUGAAAAUAAAGAUAGAAACUGAAGGCAGCAGGGCUAGCCUAUAAAAAAUUUGUUCUUAUUGGUUUGUAUGUGACACUGAAACUUAAUGGCGAUGAAUAUUUAUAUUUAUAUAUAUAUAUAUGCAUGAAAGUGAUAGUAGUGGCGGUGGCUUUUGUUUUUGUUGCAACUUGUCCUGCCCGUACUGCCCAUGCAUGCUAAUUAACUGCCCACAUUUUUACUUGUUAAAUUUUAAGACAUAAUUAGCGAAACCAAUUACUUGACUGUUCAGUGAGUUGUGUUAUCUUAUCACCGAGAUGUAUUAAGCUGUAAACGCGUAAUUAUAUUUUAAUUGAGUUUGUUACACUUAAAAAAGUUUGUUGUUUUUUGUAAUUAACUAAAAUUAAGAGUGUGUAUAAAUUUGGUAUAUAGAGAAGUGUCAGUGUCACAGCUUGCGGAGAGCUUUUUUUGCUAAUUGUAUAACCAAAAGCAAGAUGUGAUGGUUUUCGUAGUAUUGAGCUGGCAAAUUAGAGCACUAAGUAAAAUUAAGUGGUUUUAUGGUCUAAUUAAUGAAAUUUUCUUUUCCCUUUUUUUCUUGUAGGUAAACUUUGAUGAAACUACACGUAGUCAGAGAAUAUAUAAGAUCAGCUCUUAUUCCUCAAAAAUAGUAGUAGAAAACUGUAUAUUAUAAUAAGAUAAUUAUUCAACCGCACUGAUGAAUUUUGAGAUUCAAUAAAUUCCUGAUUUAGAAUUAUGAUCACUUAAUUAUUGCGAUGAUAAGUUAGACUAUAACUUCAAUGGUAAAAGAAUUUGUACAUAUCUCUAUCAUUACUGUUUAUAAAUAUUUUAUCUCAUGUUAAAUUUUUUUCAACUUAUUUCGUAUGUCUAUAUGAGUUUUGCUGAGUUUUAUAAAAGAUUUUAUGUCUUAUGUACAUUUAUUAAUAGUCUACAAUUACAAUUUAAUUACAUGUAUCUUAUACAUUGCUAUCCAAUAACCGCCAAUCAUAGCCUUGUAUUUUGUUCAUCACAAGGUUAGGUUAGCAUGCAAGGCAAAUCAAACUUCAUGAAUUUGAAUAUAAAAAUAAUGGAAAUAGUAGUUGAUUAGUUUCUAUUAUAGCAUGGUUUCUUUUUUCAUUUCCCCCCUAUGUUUUGGUCUUUAUUGCUAGUAAAAUUGCGCACUAAUAAGGUAGUGACCAGGACUUGCGGUUUAUGCAUUUGAGUUUUGGUCUUUAUUUAGGCUCCGUUUGGUACAGCUUAUUAAAUAGAACUUAUAACAGUAGAGCUUAUAGCAGUAGAGCUUAUACCAAUAGAAUUUUUGGACAAAAAGUCAUUAGGUGUUUGGUUGUCAAUAAAAAAAGUAUUUUUGAACCAUUAAACUAUGUGAUAUUUUUUAUAUUAUAUAUAUUUAGAAAAGCUUUGUAACCUCUACUCCCAAAAGCUCAAAUUUUGGGCUUUUCCUAGUAGAGGUAAAUUAGCUUAUUUAAGCUAAAAAAACUCUACUAAAAAAAUAACCAAACACCAUAAAAAAUUUUAAAAAGUGCUUAUACGAUUAAAUAAACACUUAUAGCUCUUAAAUAAACCAUACCAAACAGGCUCUUAGACUUUCCUCAUUUCCAAAGGGACAUAUUUUUGAACAAGAACUUAUGCAGCUUCAAAAAGGAAAAGCUAAAGGUAAAAUAUAUAGAGGGCCUCAUGUGAUUAACUAUUCUAUACCGUUAAAAAGCUGUAGUACUGAAGAUCCAACCUACUCAUAGCCAAAGAAUCUAACACAUGCGUUUGUUUAGAUUUGCAUCAAAAUUCUAGUACAUCAUAUAUCCCCCAAAUUUCAAUUUCUUGAUCAACUUCCCCACCAAAAUUACUUUUUCAGCCAAUACCCACUACAGAGAAUAGCAGCAGCGCAGCUACAGUAAUUUGGAAUGAAUUUAUUGCCUGGAACAAAUCCCCCUUUUUUGAUUAGACAAGUGAUUCCGUAUUGGAAGCAGAUUUUUCACAGGACUUGUAGAUUAUGUGCUUGAGAUGUAAGGGCUCCUCUAGUGUUCUAUUCACUGGAAGUGUCAUGAAGACAUCAACAUUGACCAUCAAUUUAAAUGAUUCUCUAGAAGGACUUUGGUUUUUUUUUUUUUAAUUUUAUUUCAUGUUGCUUCGUUAUGGUUAAACGAUGUUUUCUCAUUAGUCUUUAGCCUCAACGAUUUAAAUGUAGAAAACUACAAGUUUUGGAUCAAAUUGCUAGAAUAAAUUUGUCACUAUAUUGAUUAGUGAAACCGAUUAUAGCGGUGAAGAAUGCUAUAUAUAUUGCGUGAUGUUUGGUGAAAGUAUUUUUGAACAGUUUAUCCAGCCAUUUAUUAUAACAAAUUGAUUGUAAAUUGUAAAGUUAUUUAUUUGCAGUGGAAUGAAAUUUAUGUUAAAAAAAAAAAGAAAAGCGAAACUCAAUCUAUUAGCUAAUAAAAAAGACACAAACCUUUAAUCUGGAAGUACUUUGAUCUAAUAUUAUAUGAAGCUGAUCCCUUUUUGUUAAAGCUUGAAAAUGUUAAUACUUUUUUAAGUUUGAAAAUGUUUAAGAAUAGGAAAAGCUCUCACAUGUUUUAUUGCUGUCGAAAACUUUUUGAAAAGAUAUGUUUUCUCAGUUUGAAUGGGUAUCUGGUUCAAGAUUUCUUAGGAGAAAAGGUAUAUAUACACAUUUUGUUCCAUCUUUUGUUAUCUUAAAAAGGAACCUUGGCUUUAAUGUUUUCAUUUUCCUCUUGUAAUCACUACAAUUACGGACAAAUGAAAGGGCAGCUUGGAGAGAAGAAAAAAGAAAAAGUUAUGUAUAAUUCUUAAGGAGGCUUGUGAGUGAAAUUUUAACUUUGCUGGAAAUUCCCCUGAAAAAGGUGGAAAAUAGAUAGAGAAAAUGGAAGAUUUUAUACACAGUAUCUGGUGCCUCUGAUCAAUGAUCAUAAUCCCUCUUCCUUUCCUAUCAACCAACUUACUAGCAGCAAUCCUGUGCCUCUAUUUUCUCCCACUUUUGAUGAAAAUUCUCAAGCAACUUGUUUAUUUUGUAGCUAAAUCCUAGAAGCUUAAGCUAUUAAGUGAGAGCCUUCGAGCAUGUCAGACAAGAUCCAAAUAAAUUUAGAUUUCAUAAGAUUUAGACAAAAAAUUUAACUUGAUAGUCAUGUUUAGUUAAACAAAUUACUUGAAAGCUUUAAACAAAUUACUUGGAAGGCUUAAACUGGUUGAUGAGAGCUAAAUAGAUUAGUACGAAUACUGAUGGUUUCCACAUUCAAAAGCCAGCUCUUAGGGAAUUAAAAUCUAUUGCUUCACAACUAAGUUACACACUUUUUCAGCUUAGUUGGGAAGACAAAUUCUUCUGCUUGUGAAAUCUUUAAAAGAGGUACUAGUGCGGUACAAUGCUCACACUCCUACUUUCAACUCAAUAACCUCUAGUUUUCGAAAAUUUUCAUUACCAACCUCUCAAGUUUUCAUUUUCAUCCCUCAACUUAUAAUUCAAUUUAUUAAAUACCCUACAGUAAAUCUUGACGUGUCAAUAACAAAAACUUGAGAAUUAAACGAAAAACUAAAGUUUUUAAUAAAAAGUGAAAAAUUAUACCAAACAGCAUUGUUUUGUAAAUAUAACUCUCUAACAGAUUAUUGAACAUCUACCCAUUCAUUCAAGUUUUUACCACAAUCGGUAACUUAACUUGAAACAAAAAGGGUGAGUCCCUGUAUGUUUAAAUUUUCCCGUCAUUAGGCAAGCUUGAUGUGCAUAAAAAAUCUCUUAACCUUUUGUGUUAAGCGAUAAUUCAACGUUCUUAUUUGUUGGUUACCAUGCUCAAUGACCUGACAUAAUUCCUUAUGAUCUUUUUAUCUUCAAGCUUGUCAAGUGGAUGAUAUUCAUAUACUGCAUGAUCCAACAAAGCCAUGAGGCGCAUGUUGCCCAAAAAUGAAUCUAAUCUGAUUUUUAAGCAAAAGAUCACUACGGAACCUUUCCUUUCUUCUUUUCUUUUAUCAUUUUCCAAUUGUUUGGCAUCCUAGCAAGUAUUCUUGUUCUAUUUCGUAAACUUUUUUUUUCUUUUUUACUUUUUUUUCCCCUAUCUGAACCAAAAAAACCCUGAGAUUCUUGUUCAAAGAUUGAUAUGUUUAGCUUUACCUCUACAGCUUUCACUUCAAUUUCUUGCAAACUGGUUUUCAUGCCCCCCCAUUUUUAGUGAAAGAGAAAUUGCUUUGCUUACCUUUCAAAGAUGCAAUAUGUAGCGGGUUAUCCAGUAUAAAUCACCUGAACAAAAAUAUCUUCUACUUUAUCAGUGUUAAUCACUUAAACAAACAAUUUCAAAAUUUCAAUACAUAGUAAAAACCUUUUAUCACUAAGGGUCAUCACUUUUUAUCAAGAAAAGGCAAAAGUAAAUACAGGGAAACAAAAUUAUUCUAAAAUAUUCAAGUUGCCGGUAAUGUUUUCCAGGAUAAACAAAUAAUCAAACAAUUUCACAAAGGCGACGAAAAAGAAGGGGUAGAAAACUACAGUGUUUUCCGACAACCAUUCUUCAUAUAGAUAAGCGUAUCUAAAAUUUAGUGUCUCAUAAAUCACAAAAUAUUUAGGCAACUUGCAGGCAGCAUCUGAUGCAUCCAAGGCUCAUAGCCAUAAAAUGAAAGACAAAACAUCAUUUUAGAUGGACAUUAAUAUCACCCUUUGAUUUGACAAUAGCGUUUGCAAUUCACAACAGAUGAGACCCCAAAGCAAAACAUAAAGAGCAUCAAACACACACACACACACACACAGAAAGCGAGAGAGAGGGAGGGGGGAAGAGAGAGCAUCGGCUGAAUUGUAGAAAAAUUUCCUCUUUACAAUCUUGUUUUAAGAAAACAAAAUCUUGCAAGGUGCAAUAAGUAAUCUUCUUUUAAGAAGCUGGCAUCAAAUGUUGAUGACAAAGCAACUAUUUACAGGGCUUACCAGCAAUAAUCACUGGAAUUAACAAAUCCUAAAACCUAGUUUGCUGGAACAUAAGGCCGAAAAAUGCAUGCGGAACGCAUUUCGACAAAUCAGAGGGCAAAGAGAAUCAACCACGAACCAUUUGCACGAUGCAGCUGGGAACAGUUUGGUCGCAGCUGACAGAACAAAACCCAUCAAUUUGACCUAGCAUUCAGAUAAUAAGGAAAAGGAGAAAAUUUUUAAUAGUCAGUUGAAUCGUCCAACAAAAUCAUUAGACAUAGAAAACGUGUUGAAGUAAAAAAAAUCAUCACCUUGGCCAUUCUAUCAUUAUCUCAAGGAUAUAGCAGGAUGUAUUACUAAUACCAGGAUAUCUCAAUACAUCUCACCUAAGCAUUUAUUAUUUUACAAGGAACAAAAUUAAUAUCCUUGAAAUGGAUAUUUAAGGGCACGUUCGGUAUUGCUUUUAAAUUUCUAUUUUCUUAAAACAAAAUGAGAAUGGAAAUUGUGUUUUGAAGUUGUUAUAUUCUUAAUUUAGGUAUGUGUUUAUUAUUAUUUUGUGUAUCCUAUAUUUUGAAAACGAAAAUAAUAAUACGCGUUCAGUAUAUAAAGUUAAAAAUGAAAAAAUAAUGAAUCUAUUAACAGUUUUACUACAUGCAAAUUAAUUUUGUGUUUAAAAUUUAUAUAAAAGCUAGUUUGUUUUUCAAUAUACCAACUUACAAUAAUAAUUAUUAUAAUUUUGAUUUUUUCUAAAUAAUUGUUUUUUGCUAAUGUGCUCGCUGUUCAGCAGAUCUUCCUACCUUAUAUACUUGAUUCGAAAAUGAUUUAAAAGGAGGAAAAAAAAAUUUAAAAAUAUUAAAUCUAAUUCUCCAUUUUAUUAAAAAAAAAUCAAAUUCUCCUUUCAACAUUUUUAACAUAUCAAUAUAAAAGUUAUUAAAUAUCGCGUUUCUAAAGAAAAGAUUGCAUGCUUACAAUGAAGAACCAAAUACCCAGAUCUGCAAAGAUCAGUGUAAAUCUCUGCAGAUCUUUGGUGAUUUUAUCAAAAUAAAACUGAAUAAAAUGUAUAAGAACCCAGAAAUAUGUCCCAAAAAGGGGAGGGAGAUGAGAAUUAAGAGAUAAGGUAGAUAGAUGAGGUGUUAAGAGUAAAGAUGGAGACUACCUAUUAUUAUUUAUUAGCCGUGUUUAUUAUUAUAAUUUACUUUACAAUCUGUUUCAUAAAGCAAGUAAGACAUGUAUAAGUUGUUUUGUAAUUUACAACUGCAAAAGUUAAGUCAGAUUUUGUGUUUUACAAUCACAUUUUACGAGAAAGACUACCAAACACUUAUUUCACUUGAAUUUAUAAAACAAAAACGAGAAUGACCCGAGUAGAACGGUACUGAACACCCCCUCAUUUAUAUGAUUGAAAUUAAUAUCCGUAUAUCAAUGUAUUUCAUCAACUUCAUAAUCUCAAUAAGUUUAACAAAUAUUGCGAGACAAUCUAAGAGUGCAUGAAGACACAUGCAAGUACAGAAUCAGACACCAAAUAUGCCAAUUAUGGAUGACAUACCAAUUAUGGUAAUCCAUCUCAAGCAGAGAUUCUGAGGUCUAGUGUACAUUACGGUUGAGUAAUCCUUGGAAAUACAAAUAAAGAUCUUUGUUGUCUGUCCCAAAAAUCUCUUCUGCUUUCCUCAAGGUUUCCUGAAUGGUGAUAGAUAGAAGUCAGUCGUCAAAUCAAACUGCAAUAUAUCAUUUUGCAUCAAUAUGAAAAAUAAUGAAAAAGUACAAUCAGUAACUCAUUACCUCUCGGGUUUGCUUCUGAGCAUUUAACUCCUUGAUGCUAGCCAGAAAUGCACUGAAUUGUUCAUAUGAUAGGCGACUCCUGAAUUACAAAUAUAUCCUAAUCAGUCAGUAAAGAUCCUGAAAGUUCCUGUGGCACAUCAGUCGCCACAUACACAUUAGAAUUGGAAUAGUGGAACUCACCUGGCUUGGCGGAAGAACUCCUUUCCAUCAAUUCGAGGAGUGCGCCCUAUUGUUAUUCACAGAAAAUAGAAAAAUUAUCAGGACGGAAAUGAAAAUUGGUUUAGCAAAUGUGAUAAAAAGCGCAAGUGCUAGAAUAGGAUACAAUCAAUUAAAUCUAACCAAGCAACCAAAAUAUAUACUUGAAUAAUCUAGGUGCAAUAGGAAGCUUGUUGAACAAAUACCAAGACAAGACUCACUAGCAGUGGAUAAAUGAGAAUUAAACAUUAUAAACCUGGAAGUGAACGCCCACGAGGAGGAGAGUUUGCUGCUGAUGACUGCUGGCUUGAAGGAUACCAUGAAGACAGUGAAAUCCGUCCAUCAUUCUGAGUUUUUGUUGGAGACAUUGUACCAGAGGUUCUUUUGGGAGAUCCAGCAACAGAAUAACCUCUAGGGGAUACACUUGUGGAAAUAACUUUCGGAGUUCCAGUUGGAGUCAGCCGUGGUGUGAUAUAUGGAGUUAGAGAAAAUCUUUGUGCAGUAUUUCUUGAAACUGUUGAUCAAACAAUCAGCAUAAGUAAACCCUUUUUUCUAUUUUUGUUAAAUAAGCUUCAAAUGCUGAAUAAAUAAGCAGACCCUUGUAAACACUAUAUAUUAACUUGAGAACAGCCUACACAGGAUAAGUUUGAGGAUACUGAGUCAACAAGACUUGAAAGGGCUUAGCCGUGAAACUUGCAGAAUGCUUCAAUAUGCAUCCAUAUGCAUUGAAUUAUCAAACAGCAAAGUCCUAAGAAAAUAGAAAGUAUCAGCUUUGUUAUUGCCUCCAAGAUGAUAUUCAUUCUUGAUAGUUGCCCCUAUACGUAGUAGCUAGCUCAUCUUGUUGAUUUAUAAGUUUAAACUAAUCAUUUUCCCGAAGACUGCAUCUAAACUUUCAAUCAAUUUUUAAGCUUUUAGUGAGAAGAUUUUGGCAAAGCUUAUCUUGAAUUGUACGAAAUUUUAAAUUUUAGUUUACCGAAAGUAAUGUAAGUAAAUAUUUAUUCUUUGUUUCUAUCAGAACAGUAGCAAUGGAAGCAACAAUUCCUAUAAGCCUUUGAAAAUUUGACUUGGCAAAUGCAUCCAGAUUCUAACCAUACUUAAAUGUUAACAUACCUAUUUUGCUAGGUUUCUCUACUUUCUAUUGAAGUAAUGAACAUUUAAAUUAAGUCUAGCAUACAAUUCUAGAUAGCAUUCCAUACCAACCGAUAGAGUACGUUUCUAGCAUGAAUUUAAUCUUAUAUCAUCAUAGAACCAAUCAUAACAUAUAAUAUGCAUAAGCCAUGCAGUAAAAUGCGCAGAAAAGACUAUUUCAAUUACCUUCGUCAACUGUGUUUCCCAUAUCUGUUGAACCAUUGAAGCUACGAUGUGCAGUAUAGCCAUUGUUCCCACCAUCUAGCAUAGGUAUGGGAAUUGAUUGAAUGAUCAUGAAAAGGCAAACACAAGAGGAAAAACGAAGUUAAAUUCUUUGAACAAAAAAACAGAGUCAAUAAUCAUAAUUGGUUCAUAAUAAAGGUCAUAUUGAAUCAGAAAAUAUUUCAAGCCAAGAUUAAUAGUACCCUUGUCAGGAUAGGCUCUUGGAACCGGCUGGUCACAGGUCCCAAUAUCCACAGUUUCAGCCUGCAGUCAAAGAUACAAAAAACCGGUAACAAAUGAGUGGUUUACAACAAAAUGUACAAACAAAAGUCAUGUAGCACACAAACAAAUAAAUUGAAAUUGGUUCGUAUGAAAUUCUUACAGAUGAAUUGUCAUCAUUCAGCGACUGCAUCAGUUGUCUCUUAAAUGUUUCCAACUGCAAGUAAAAAACGCACCAAUCACUAUAAUAGAACUGCAUACAUACACAUUCUGUUUAAGCACUCAGUAUAAUUAGGCAGCAUUGAAAUUGUUGGCGUAAAUUUCAUUCAAUUGAAUCGAAAAUGCAACAAUGCACACAACAAUUUGACCAAUUAAAGUACAACAUUCAGCUACAAUUUUAGUCAAAUAAUUUUCAUGUCUAACCUUUGCUAAAUCACGGCUUAGAUUCCUCACAGUCAUUGCCAACGAAUCUCGUUCCUUCGCAAGCUUAGCCUUUUAAUAAAAAAGGAAAAAGAAAAAAAAACAAUCGAACAUUUCGUCAAUAAUUCCUAAAAACCACAAAUUUACAAAAAAAAAAGCCACAAAACCCUAACGUUUCAAGUGAAAUAACAGAUAAUUUACAAAAUUAAGCAAGCUUACAUUAUCAUCGAUGAAAAUUUUCAACUUCGAGUCGGCUUCUUGGUACACCUUUUGCACGUGCGACAAUCUCUCUUCGAGCUCGCAUAUCAGGCGAUCUUUCUCGUACAGCAUCUGCCUCAUCGUCCCCGUCUCCGUCUCCAGCUUCGACACGCGCGACGCGAUGGCCAUGGACGUGAUCUUACGCGCCAGAUCCAGCUGGUCGUACGGAUCCGUCGGUAUCACCGCCAGUACCUCGUCAGGUAAAUGAAAGUCGGGCCCACCGCCGCUCUCUCCGCUGCUCUGCGACAUACCUGAUUCUCUCUCGACCCAAUCGUCAAUCGGUGAUGAGUUGUUAGGUGGUUGGAAGCUUUAGGUAAGGCUGACAGUACAGAUGAGGAACUUUGGAUUGAACGCCUUUCAAAAAUGGUUUUGCUUUUUUUUAUUUUUUUUCUUUUUCUCCCUUUAAAUAAUAAGUUUGAAUUAAUUGCUUUGGGGUGCGGGGGUUUUUCUUUGGCAGGUUGAGUCUUUAGGUGCUCAGUUUUUGGGAUUUUGUCGCUAUUCGAAAAUUUAAAGGGAGUUGUUUCCCUCCAAACGCGUCAUCGCUGCUGGUAGCCUCCAUCUGUUCGAUCAAAUUGAACACCCCCUUUUUAAAGUGAUAAUAUAAAAAUUCAAAAUUAUUAAAAUUUCAAAGAUAUCAUUUUAAUUUUUUUUUUUUUUGACAAAUGAUUUCGACUUAUAUGAUACUACGUACAUGUUUAUUUGGGAUGUAAAUGUGAUAAUCUAUGUUGGCGUCUAAUAUCAAAUUUCAGGCUAAACCAAACAAAUUUGAUUUAUUAAAAAAUUUUGUUACUUGAUUAAGCACUAUCUACCUAUUUUGUUGAAUUUUCAAACUUUGAAAUUGAGAAUAGGACUAAAAGCUAAUUUAUUGAUUUAAGAGACACUUUUUAAGAACUCUAAAUAAAAACUUGAUAAUAAAUUUGACAAAGAUAAUAAUUGUAUUAUUUUAUAUCAAUCUAAACCCAUUAUUAAUAUCAAAUUGAGAAGUUAUGUCAGCUAUUAUUACGCCUAAUCUUCGAAUAUUACAUUUGAUAAUACUAUUAUGUUUUUAAAUUUUUUAUAAUGUUUUAAUAUACGUUGCUUUAACAUAGAACCAACAAGAUAACCGUGACUAACAUCGCACGGGUAUUUUUUUAGAUCUACAUUGGAGUGGCUCACUCUUCUUAGAGCAACGUAGCCGUGACCUCAGUGACCUGAAACAUGUACAUACGUAUAGAGAGAGGCACAAAUCUGGCGAAAAAUCCGUUCACAUUACAAUUCACAAUGGACCCAAAUCAACAGCCUCAUCAUGGGCCCAAUGCGAGCCCGGCUAACUUAAAAAGAAAAAAAGAGCCCGUGUCCGUUUCAUCCGUGCCCCCAGUAGGCUGCUUUUAACGUAAACAAAUGAUCGCAAAUCGACAAAUGGGUUUUUUCCAGGGACCUCCCCUGAGGUUUAGUGUAUUGACAGUUGGAUAGAAAGUAUUCAUAUAAUUACAGAAACCUCCCCUGAUGUUAGUAUUCCAUUAACUGGACUGUCAGUUGACUGUUGAAAUUUCAAAAAUGCCCUUGCCGCCAAAAUAUAUUUUUAACAGAGGAGGUUGCGCUCUUAACAUAGCCUUAUUAGCAUUCAUUUCUGAUCUUUUGUUCUCUUAAAUCAAAAUUAUAUAACACCAUGACCAACCUGGUUUAAUCAUAAUAUCAUUACCAACUUUAAAUCAGAACUAUAUAAAACAACAUAUCAUUACACACACUUAGCUCCAAGUAGUUCAAGUACCUAGAACAAUCGCUUUUAUGUAUGCAUAUGAAGCAGUUUUGUUCAUAGCAUAUUGUAUUAUUGGAACUAUUAACUCAAACACUAGCUCUUUACCAAAAAUUAAAACUAACUAAAAAAUGCAAUCGCGAGCGCUUUUAUCUUUUUGCAAUAGUUGGUUGAAUCAGACAAAAGCGCUUUCUAAGAUUAAGAGAAGCACUUGGACAGCUUCUGCCAGAAGCACUUUAAAGAAAAGACAUUUCUGGGGGAACAAAAAAAUGUAGUUAAAAGUGUUUGUAAGAAAAGCACUUAAUUGAUAAUUCUCUAAAAAGCAAUUUCAGGUGCUUUUGCAUAAUGCACCUUAAAUCAAAGCUGCUAAUACUAGUGGUUGAACACCAACCUCAAACAAUGCAUCAGGAACAAAUCUAUAAACUACAUUAUCCUGAUCCAUAAUUCUGAAAUCAAUAUUAAAUUCUCAUUUGAAAACAAGUUUUUUUUUUUAAAAAAGUUAUGAAUUAAGAAAUAACAUGAACAAAAAGCUCGAGAUCUUUGCCAAUUGACACAAGAUCCAAGUUCUGAUCAAAGCAAUACACGCGUACACGACUGCCUGAACUGCCGGCGUAAAAAAUAACAAUGUAACUCUUGGAGAGCUUCAAAUUGGGGGAAAGCUUGCGGCUGAGACCGUAAUCCAGAGUGGCGUCGGCGGAGGGGGCACGGCCGGGCAUGAGAAACAAAACGACGACAAUCAACAUGACUGGGAUGGAAAUGAUUAGCAAAACGCUGCGGUAACGCUGGAUCUUGUCUGAGAAGGAGUUGUGCUGGCGAUUGUGAGGCCGCUUGAUCAUUUUGUCCGAGGAGCGGUCUCAAGGAGCUCGACAGUGGCGGGAACCAAUUUCUGGUCCGAUAAUUUCAAGAUCCCGCCACAGAUCUCCGUCAACUCGGCCUCGAUCUUCGACCUGUACUCCUUAAUCAUGGAGACAUGGUAAUAGUUGCCGCGCGACUCCUCCUUUUGCUCGAUGGAGGACACGAUGCGCCAGGAGGCGCGGCGUGCGCCGAUGACGUUUUUGUAGGCGACAAAGAGGAGGUUGCGCUCCUUGACGAUAAUUUCCUCGCCGGUCGAGGCGGAGGCGAUGAAUUUUUUCAUGUAUUGGAUCAUCUCUUCAUAUCGCUCGACUUGCUCCGCAAAUUUUACCAUUUAUACGUUUUCUUCCCGUGGAGAAAGAGCUGCCAUUUUUCCGUUCAAUUAUGCUUGUUUGAAUUUUGUUUUUGUUUAAAUUUUAAAUUUACUUUUAUGUAUUUGUCUUUUUUAAUAACAUUAUAUGUAUUUUUGUAUUAACAUCAGGGAGAUCCCUGAAAUUACAUGAAUACUUUCUAUCCGACUCUCAAUACACUAAACCUCAGGGGAGAUACCUAAAAAUUACCCCUCGACAAAUAUAAAAGAAAAUAAAACGUCAGUGUGUUUGUUCUCUCUCUCUCGCACUCUCUCUCUGAGUCUCUCCGAGUUCUCUCGCAUUUUCUCGGCAGCCACACACACAAAUUGCGGACAAAGCGGGAAAUCGAGAAUGUCAGUGCUUAUAGUAACGAGCUUAGGAGACAUAGUCGUGGAUUUAUUCAUCGACAAGUGUCCGUUAACCACCAAAAACUUCUUGAAGCUCUGCAAGUACGAUUCCAUUCGCACACUCGACGCUCAGUUUCCUUUAUUCUCUAAAUAUCACCGUCAGUUUUAAAGCCUAACAAUUUUCGACAUCAUAACUUCGAUUUUUAUCUCUCUUUUGUUGUAGGAUUAAGUACUAUAAUGGCUGUUUGUUUCACACUGUUCAGAAAGAUUUUACAGCCCAAACUGGCGACCCCACCGGCACCGGAACCGGUGGUGACUCGGUCUAUAAGUAAUGAUCUCUUAGUUAUGUUGAUGUAUGUUUAGAAUGAGAUAGUGCGUGCGUUUAUGUUAUAUAAUGUUCUGGUUUUUAGGUUUUUGUAUGGGGAGCAGGCUAGAUUCUUUGGAGAUGAGAUUCGUGUGGAUUUGAAGCAUGCUAAGACAGGAACGGUUGCUAUGGCUAGUGCUGGGGAGAAUCUGAAUGCUUCUCAGGUUUAGUAUUAAGAUUGUGUUACUGAUUUAUUUAAGUAUUUUGAUUAGCUUCAUUAUUGCAGUGAAAUUUGUGAUUUGGCAUUGAGGUUAAGUUGGGAAAUUGCGUAGGUGUUUAUUGUUGGAUUUUUUUUUUUUUUUUUUUGCAGUUUUAUAUGACUCUGCGGGAUAAUUUGGACUAUCUCGAUGAGAAGCAUACUGUGAGUCUCUUAAUCCUCAACUUAUUACUUUAUGAUUGUCCUGCUAGUCUUUGUUUUAUGAGCCAAAUGAAUGAACAAUUAGUUUGUGUUGUUUUACGCAUUUUCAAGUAUCUUUUCUCGUAAAAAAUCGUAAAGUAUGAAAUUUCGGUUGUUUCUUGACUCCAUGAAUUUCUGAGAUGCUUUGGGUUUGCCACUUGGGUUUGCUUUAUGUUAUUGUAUUGAUUGCAAUCCUUACAAUUCUAGUAUGUAGAGAAAGAUACCUGGCCACCAAAUUGUGAAUAAUUUUGCUAUAGGCAACAGUCGCAGUGUAAAACUCAGUUUGGCAGUUUCUUUUGCGCUUGGAAUUUACAGAAUGUCUCUUUGGAUGUCUUAGGGUGGUCGUUCCUUUCUUAAGCCUUAGGGAUAAUUGAGAACUGCUUUGGGUGAUGUGGAAAUUAUGAUGUAGAAAUUUGCUUUUUUCACUUGAAUCCAUCCUGUUGCCUGUUGGUGAAAGUUUCUUAUGAAUGAGUUUAUUGUUGCAGAUUUUUGGGGAGGUCGCUGAGGGGCUUGAAACUCUGUCUAGAAUAAAUGAAUCUUUCGUGGAUGAGAAGAAUAGACCAUACAAAAACAUCAGGUUUGUGUUUUCCAUUGGAUAAGUUUUCAUGUUAAUUUGUGAAUAGAAUUCAUCUUAUUUCUACUAAGUAUUAUCUUGUGCAGAAUCAAACACACUUAUAUUUUAGAGGAUCCUUUUGAUGAUCCUGCUCAGCUGGCUGAGUUGAUUCCCGAUGCAUCGCCUGAAGGCAAACCUAAAGAUGAGGUAUUGACCAUUUUCUUCAUUUAUUUAUGGGUAGGUUUAAAAUGAAAAAGAAAAUCAAUAUCACUGAAUUAUAGUUUUUAUGUAUCCAAAGCUUUUGCUGCCUACAUUAAGAGUGUUCUUUAUUUUUGUUAUUAAUUCAUCGCACCUGUGGUUAAAAGUUUGAUUCAGUGAAGGCCUCUAGAAAAAGAAGUUGAUAAUAUUUAACAAAAAAGCUUGAUUUAUUUUAGGUUCUGGGAUUAUAGUAUCAAAUCCUGCAAUUCAUGGCUAAUGCUGAUUAAUGCUAAUAUAAGAUCUUUUUUAACUGUUGGUUGGUACUAAUCGAGGGCCCAACCUGGUGAAGUGAAAUUUGUAAUUAAAUCGGGUUAUUUUGAGUGCCUUCACUUGGUGGGAUUCAGCUCCGUAUUCUAUUUUGGAUGAUUUUUUUUUUUUUGGGAUGCAGUUGGUGUCGCAAACUAUAGAUUUUGCUAGAUUUUUAAAAUUUACAAUCUGUCCUGUAGUGUUCUUAUGUUUUUGCCUGCAUGCAUAGCUUGUACUUGUUAGAGGUUCUCUGUUUGAUUGAGGUCACUGGGGAGUUGAGCUCUUUUCUGGAACCUGAAAGCAUAGCUUUAGUGUAAGGGGGAUGGGGGCUCCCCGACCCCCAAUUAGGCGUAAUUUUUCUUUUUCAUUAAUAAAGCUUCCCUUGUACUGCAGAGGUUCACCCUCCCACACACACACACACACACACACUCUGAACCUAGUAAUGUCUUUUUGGCAAGCAAUUUCAUGGUCAGGGCUGAUUUUCGAUGUUGUGACCAGGUCGUUGACGAAGUGCGGCUUGAAGAUGACUGGGUGCCCCUUGAUGAGCAAUUAAGUGCAGCAGAACUUGAGCAAGUUAUCCGUUCGAAGGAUGCACGUUCAAGUGCAGUUGUACUUGAGAGUGUAAGCAUUCUAUACAUACAAUAUGAUACAGUUAUUUUUCGUCUAGCUGUGAAUAAUGUGAUUCAUUUUUUUAGUCUUGUGUACAUUGCAGAUCGGCGAUAUUCCUGAUGCUGACAUCAAGCCUCCUGAGAAUGUGUUGUUUGUUUGUAAACUGAAUCCAGUCACUGAAGUGAGUUUGUGUUCAUUAUUGUAUUAGGAUCACAUUAUUGCUAGGAUAAGUUUUAAUGUACUACUACUUUCCUUUUGAAUUUGAACUUUGUUUAAGGGCAAGUAAGGGACAAAGGAGAGUGGCCCUCUGUUUUGCCUUUAAAUUGAUGACAAAGUAAAUGGCAGAAGUUUAGCUGUUGAGUGGCAUGUGGAAGGGAUUUAUUGAUAUGUUUUACCCCCUUGUUCAGCUAUUGUAUUGUGGUUGUUAUUUUGUUCUUUUUUUAACCACCAAUAGAAGGUCAAUCUCUUAUUCCCUCUUGCAGGACGAGGACUUGCAUACAAUCUUCUCACGUUUUGGGACUGUUGUCUCGUAAGCUAUAAAGCCUUUCUUUUAGUGUUGAUUAACUCUUUAAUGCGGGCAAGUGUGGGAUUUAAAUGCGUUUCUAAUUAUAACUUAUUUUUACAGGGCUGAAAUAAUCCGUGAUUUCAAGACUGGAGACAGUCUAAAUUAUGCGUUCAUUGGUGAGUGAAAUUUUUGUCAAAUAUUGUCACACUGCCCAUUGAAUUACACAGCAACUGUCUAUUCUUCAGUUAAGCAAGCUUGAGUGAGAUUAAUCUGUUCCCUUGCUCACACACACACACACAGAUAUAGCAAAGUGACGUGCAUCUGUUCCAUACUGGUUUCUGUAUGAUGUUAAUAAUUUACUUUCUUUUUACCAGAGUUCGAGAACAGACAGGCAUGUGAACGAGCGUACUCCAAGGUGAUCUUAAACCCCGAAAGUACUUAUUUGUUUCUCAAAUCUUGGAUUUUUGUGCUUGCAUGUAUAGUGAUGUUGAUGUAUGUGGCACUAUAUGUAAUUGUCUUCCAUUUGCAACUUCUAUUGACCAUGGAUUAAACAGAAAAUGAUAUUUCAUUGGAGUAGAUUUACUAGACGUGAGAACCAGGUGCAUUUAUGAACUUAAUUCUGUGCAAUCCUUUGGAAUGAUAACCGCAACACCCAUCCUUAGAUGCAGAAGCAGUUGUCAUAUGUUUUCUUCACCAUUAGUCUCGAGGACAUUCAUUAUUUUUAACCAUAUUGUUUUAUUAAUUCAUUUUAUUGGUUUUGCUGAACUUGGCAAUCUUUCUUUUGACGGUAGAUGGAUAAUGCUUUGAUUGAUGAUAGAAGGAUACAUGUGGAUUUUAGUCAAAGUGUCUCAAAGCUUUGGAACCAAUUCAGACGAAGAGAUCACCAAACUGGUAAAGGUAAUAGUUAAAUGCCACCUCACCAGGACAUCAAACGUUCUUGUUUAACAAGUUUGUGAUUGUGGUUGUGUGUGCGUUAAUUUCAGUCUACCUUUUUUCCUUUCUAUAUGAUGGUUGGAGGAACCGCAAUUUAAAUAGCAAACAUUGCUUUAUCUCUCUUCUGUGUUGUUAAUUCUAUUUGCACAACUUCAUGUGUGUGUUCAGACAUUCUUGUGACUUCUCAGGAAUCUUUUUAGUUCAUAAAUAAUUUGUUUAUUUCUGUAGGAAAAGGUUGCUUCAAAUGUGGGGGUCUUGAUCACAUUGCCAAGGAUUGCACCGGGCAGCAACCUGCAAAAUACAUAUUAAGAGAUGAUAACCGACAGCAUGGUGGAUACAGUGACUCCAGGUUGUUAAAACUAGUACCAUGCAGUUUUUUGGAUCUUGCUUUUUUGCUUGCUCUCUUUCUGACAGUGCCAUGAUUGUUGUAGGUACGAAAUGGUAUUUGAUGGGGAGACUCCUGAAAAAUCAAGACGUGAAAAGAAACAUCGAGGCCAUGAUCCAGAUGACCGAGUUGAGAGAAAUAUGAAUAGGUUGAGUUCUGAAUUGAGACAUAGGGAUCAAGAAAGGAGAGAGCUAAGUUACAGGCAAAGGGAAAGUGACAGAACAAGGGAAAACAGGGAAGACAGGAGGAAUCGAGAUGGUCAAGAAAGUCGAAAUGUGCAGAAACAAGAAGUGAGAGACGAUGAUGGCAGAUAUGAGUCGGAUCACCCAAAGAGUUCAGAUACUGAUCGCUACAGGGACUGGAGGGGUGGAGGAGAUUAUAGGAAGAGAAGUGCAGAUAGUGAUAGUCGUGCGGAGAGGAGGGAAGAUGGAGAUUACAGAAAGAGAAAUUCAGAUAAUGGAAGUCAUCGAGAUCGGAGGGAUGAUCGGGAUUAUAGAAAGAAAAGUGCUGAUGGUGAUAUCCAUGGUGACAGGAGAUAUGAUAGAGAUAAUCGAAAGAACUCUGGCAAUAGUGAACUGAGGGAUGCAAAAAAGGAGCCAAGUUAUAAAAGGGGCAGAAGAGAUGAUGAUAGCUAUAAAAGAUGGCCAGAAGAUCGGGGAAAUAGACGUCGGGGUGAGUGAUGGAGAAACUGGGAAUGCAAAGAUAGGGAAAAAAGUUAAGAUAGUAGCUUCGCUUAAGGUUAUGGAAAAAUCUAACAUUAAAUAAAUACCUUGGUAGCAGAGCAGGCUCGGGCAAUAUGGCACUUGAGAGUUUUCAUCUUCUUUUUCCUUUUCUCACGAUCACGGUCAUGACAGGGAUACUGAACCAGACCCGUACUAGAAAACUAGAAAUGAGUGGAACAGUUUAUUUCACAAGGAUAUUUCAUUUUACUGAAACCGAUUUGAGAUCUUAAUAUUAGAUGUUUUUAUCUCCAUUUAUGAUGUUUUGUAUUGUUUAACCUUGAAAAUUUCUACCUUUUAGAUAACAUAUUAUACAUGCAGUGGAAAUGUGUAGUUAGCUUGUAAAGCAUAACAGAUUCAUUUAUUUCAGGGACUUUAUAUUCGAAAAUAAAAAUGGAGAGACACUUAAGGUGGGUAGGAAUUGGGAUUGUCUCAUGGAACCGUCCUUUUUGUCUUCUAAUAGGAAACGAAGAAACUUGAAUUAAGAAGAAAAACAGGAACAAAUAGUGAACAAGAUGUCCACAAAAAUGAACCGCUUAAGAACGCAAAAAGAGCUAUGCAAGGUAAUCCCACGGCAUCGUCUAAUUUGAGUCCUCUCAAGUUUGACAGUUAGGUUACACCAACAGAAUUUCAUCUACCUUAAAAUGCUUUAGGCAAGGCUGUUAUUUUUCUUAAGGGGAAUUAUUAUCUUUACAUCACUUUUUUUUUUUUUUAUUAUCAUAUGUAUAUUUAAUUAUCAUAAAAUUUCGACAUGUAUUUUGAACCAUCUUUAUUUCUAAACUUGUAUCAAUCAAUCACUUUAACACUAAAAAAUAACCGUUUUAUUCAUAAAUGAAUUAAAAGAUCAUUUUAUUCUACAAAAUUUUGAAAAAUAAAAUAUUAUAAUUAUAAAAAUACCCUUAAUUCAAUAGAACAAAUAAAUCUCAAAAUCUAAGAUGAUAAUUUUUAAAUGAAAUUAUAAUUAUAAAAAAUUGACAACUUGUAAUUAUAAUUUUUGUAAUCAUAAUUUCAUUUAAUUUGUUUAAGGAAGUUUCUUAAUAUUAAUUAUAGAAAAGUUUACAAUAAUUAUAGGGAGCUUUUCUCUUCUUAAUUUUUGUAAACAUCUCUCCAUUUAAUUUAAUUACAAACAUAAAAUGAAAUUAUGGUUACAAAAAAUUAUAAUUACAAGAUGUUAUUUUUUAUAAUUAUAAUUUCAUUUAAAAAUUAUCAUCUUAAAUUUUGAGAUUUGUUUGUUUUAUUGAAUUGAUGAGUAUUCUUAUAUUAUAGUCUUUAUGUUCUUCAAAAUUUUAUAAAAUAAAAUAAUUUUUUAAUUCACUUAAGGGUAAAAUGACCAUUUUUUAGUGUCAAAUUGGCAUGAACUUAGAAACAAAAGUGUUAAAAAAUACAUGUCAAAAUUUUAUUGUAGUGAUUAGAUGUACAUACAAUAAAAGAAAAGUGUUGCAGUGAUAAUUUUUUAUUCAAAAAAAAAAAGGAAAGGGUACUCCACGGAAGAAAAAGACAGACGAAAACAGAGAACAUGAAAAAUUAGCUUCAUAAUGCCACCAUUUAUAAUAUAUAUUUAAAAACUUUAGCAACAUUACAAGUUUCUGGCUACCACCUUACAGAUUCUCAAGUCUUGGCCACAUAAUCAUUAUCAUUAUUAUACAGGUAACAAAUGCUCCAAAUAUUUGAAGAAGCAGCCUUUCUAUAACCUUUCAUUCUAACAAAUUUCCCCGGAAAAUAUGGGGAAUGAGAAUCGAUGCAAGAUGGCCUAGUAAUAAACUCAAGAAAAGAGUUUUAUAGUUCGCGGAUUAAACCCCCUUAUAAUUAAUAUGGUCAGCGGUAUCACCUCAGAAGAAGAGCAUGUAUAUAUGACUAGCUUCAGACAUGAUUUUCUGGUAUGUGCCUUCUGUGAUCCCAACCAACACGGCUCAUCUUGUUUCGAUCAUCUAUAUAAUCAUAAUUAUGAUGAUGGGAUCCAAGGCCAUAACUUUGCCGUGGCCUCCCUUCUGGUCCUCUCUCAGGUGGGCUCCCCACCUUCCGCUUGCGGUUGCUUGGCUUGGGAGGAUCAGAACCCCGACCAAGGUCAUCAGGCACUGACACCUCCCCUUCUUCCACAUUCUCCAAAUCUGAUACAUGUGACGACUGCCGCCUUCUUUCUCGCGGAACAUCUCCAGCAUCCUCCAGAUGCCUCUGAUGAUUUGAGUUCUCAUAUUCUCGUUCAAUUCCAUUUUCCACUUCCCUCUCAAUAAGAUCAUCCUCAUCCAUCAGGUCAGUUUUUUGAGUUCUGCCAACACGGGACUGCCUGCGUUUCUCUACUGCUGCCUUUAGCUUGUCUGUGUCAAGCUUCUUGAUAGUGUCCUGGGGUGACUGGCCAACUGUACCUCCACUAUGUUCCAGAUUUCUGACAAAACGCUUGUCCUUUGAUUCCCCAACUUCUCUUGCUUCUCUUCUCGCCACAAUCCUUCCUUGAUCCUCUUCGCCCAGUGCAUCUGCCCCAAAUCUCGAUACUCUCUGAAGUUUGCCCUUGUUUUGAUAAGGCAAUGUCUCUGAUUCAGAGUACAGAUCAUCUUUAUUGGAGUCAGCAUAUGCAUCGUCAUCUAAAGCAUUUUCCAUUUCUACACUCCUGUAGUCAUUAUGCUGACUUUGGGUAGUUCUUGGAGGUGCGCAAUGAGUAUCAGCUAACGGCUGCUCAGACACUGCUUUAACUGAAACAGGCUUUAAGGGUCCAGGUCUUGACGUAGUAGCGCUAGCCUGUGAAUAACUACUCGUUGCAGCCGGAUAUUCUUCAGUGAUUGAUAGAGCUUUGGAUGAUGCCCGAUGAGUACCUCCAGAUCCAGUACUUCCUUCAACAUCACCGUGUGAAGGUUGCACCCGGUUUUGUUCAUAGAGUUCCAACAUUUGAUUGCUAACCUCUGCAAGACAAAAAGGUUCAACAUCACUACUAACUGUUAACAUUAACAACAGAAUGAAAAAUCAUUAUAACAAUCCUGACAAUAAUAAUGAUAAUAAAAAGAAUGAAACUGAUUCGUAAGGAAAAGCAAAGGAAGAAACCAUGGUCCAUCGGAUUAUCUGUGUUUCUAAUUUAUUUUUUAAACAAGAGAACAGUAAGAUGAGAAUACAUAAAUUAUAAGAACAAAAGGGACAAUAUUAACAACUGCAGAAAAGGGAGAACACCGACCCUCCAAUUGGCGUGGGGUGACAUCAAACUCUUGCCACCACAUCCUGUCACCAUCUGAUGGAAGCUUUACUUUCAGGAACUUCGCAGCAAGAAAAAUAGCCCCCGCAGCAACAUGAUGGGGCUUAAACUGCAAGCAAAGUGAGGUCCGCAGUCUGCACACAUUCCCCAAUCAAGAAGAUACAAUAGGAAAAGGCCAUGAAUGCACAACAUACAAGAAAACAACUGAGCAUACCCAUCAUUGACAAAAUUCCAAGCAACUUGUGCAAGGGCAUUCUGAGCAACCUUAAAUUUCUUUAUUGCCUCAACGAGGGGUUUGUACGGAUGCAGUACAUUUAGGUCAAAAGCAAGAGUCGCAAGCACAACUCUCUCUCCAAGUAAAAUUAACUCUUUCUGUUGUUCAUACACCUCCUGCAUAAUGCAUGCAAUACAAUCAAUUGAUUAACCGACUAGAACUGAGAAGAAAAACAAGCUUACACUGAAGGAAAAAAGAAGAGGGUUGGAAGGAAAAGAAGAGACAAGGAAUCACACAUCCUUGGACCAUCAAUAUAAUGCUUGUGCUAGAAAAAAUAUGCUGAAUGCUGAAAUGGAAACAAAUAAAUUCCAUAAUAAAACAAUAUGACAUACAUUCUCUAGGAUUUAACACUAAGGACUUGACAGAACAGUCAUCAAUAAGUCGUUUUUCCUCUUUCAUAAAUACAGCCAAAACAGGACAGAUAGGCAAAUUUGAGAUUAAUGGGAAAGCAAAUAAUUCUUGUGUUUAUUCCAGAAACAGAGAAACAAUACGACAAUUCCGAGCAAACUUAAGUAUGUCCCAGCUACACAUUAAACGCCUACUGAAAACAGACAAAAAAGGCCAGUGAUAACAUUCAAAACCUGAUAACAUUCAAAACCCGACUUUACUCAAUAAAUCUGAAAUACAACUCUACUUGCUAUAUCUGACAUCCAAUCUAGAAUAUCAAAGUAUUUCCCAAAAUGUAAAUAAAAGAAAUAAUUGCCAAUUUAUGCUAUCCGUUAAUUAAUGUGACAAUUGCACACUUGGGAAAGCUUUUCCGCGCAUGGUCUAACCCAGUUGGCAUCAAAUUACGGAUGUCCAAUUGGCAUUUCACAAUAAGGAAAUUAAAAUGACCAAGUUAGUAGGCACGCAUCAUGAUGAAUUAACAAGUUGAAGUAAAAAGAAAACUCACACAGGGAAACUAGAAAUACCACAGUAAACAAAGCUUCAUCAAAGAUGAUACCUUUUGCUUGAUUCUAUAAAUUGAAUCAGGAUCCUUAUCCUUUUUAUGAAUGAUUUCAUAUGAAACAAUGAUAACAUCUUUCAAUGGACGAGGAGUCUCUUCAACCUUCCCGGCAAGAAACAUACACACUGUAGCUACGGUCUGCAAAGUAAUUUAAACGAAAACAGGCACUGUCAUUAUUUGACAAAUUUAGUACUUUUUAAUACAAAAGUAAAGAAAUUUCCAAUUUUAAUGCUCAAAAUUUAUGUCAUUUUAUUAUUUUCCCGCUCCAGUUCUUUUCAACCAUUACAUUUUAUGCAUGCUUGAUGAGUUACCCACAUGAAGCACGUCUAUGACAGAUGGAACUGAAACACACCUCUCAAUCGCUUGGUAGAAGCCACACAAAACCAAACCAACCUUUCUCUCUAGCAUAUAGCAAGAAUGGAAGAGAGAAUCACAGAGCUAUCCUUUUUUGUCGCUCUUGGAAAGGAGGUUUGACAUAAAUUUAGUAAAAUUCCUUCAACUUAUAGGAAAUUUAAAUGCAUAGUGCCUUCCGGAAUUAAUUGUAAGGAGCGUAGAAGCUAAUUAAAUGUUCACUAGCUAUUAGUAUACUGAACUAGAAACUCUUUGGCCAACUCAGAAAUAGUGAAAAAGGUGAGAUACCUCAAUGUCUAAAACUACGGUGGUGUAACCAAUUUUCGGAUAGCAACUGAUGCGCUUAAUCAGGUGUAGGCAUGUCUGGUUUGCAUUGGUUUGAGUUCAAUUUCAACUAAACCAAAUUCAAUGGUUUAGCGUCUGACUAAAGCCAUCCAAAGAGAUAAAAAUUUGAAACUGAUCCAAUCAAAACAGACACUACUCUGUUUGGAUUAGUUUGGGGCUCAAAAGAAAGCCCAAAUUAAGAUAUAUUGAUCAGGGUGUUUAUUACAUCAAACAUUUUUAAUAAAAGUUUAAAGUAGAAAGAACAAAAAUUAAAGAAAUGGUGUCAAACAAGCAGGUCUAGGUUUGGGUUUCUUGAGAUCGAAAAGGCAAAGGAGAAAAACAAUCUCAUAUUGUAGCGAAUUAGGUAUGGAUCUCCAGAAACCCAAAUGUAGAACGUCACACCACCCACCCCCGACGAAAUAAAUAAAUAAUAAUAAUAAUCUCAGGGUAAGUUGGAAAAAUUAUCAUGGGUAAGUCUCAGUCAACAGUGGCUGCUGAGAGGGGCAAAAAUCCCUGAUUUACAUCAGAGGGGAAAAAAAGUGAGUUGAAAAGAUUAAUUAAAAAAAAAAAACACAGGCACACACUCAUUUUGAGUCAGUCUUGGUUGUUGGUGUUGUUGACAGUGGAGAGCGUGAAUCAAGACAUGCAAUUUCUGGUAGACGAUAGGCUCAAGAUAUUGGUGUUGCGAUGAAGUUAGAAUGUAAAACAUAUACUAAAAGAACUAAACUUAUAUAUUUGGACAUGUAAUUUGUUGGGCUUUGAUAAUGUGCAGGCAACUGUACCAAACAUAUGCUCAAAGAACAGCACUGCUAUCAUUUAAAAUUUUAAAGAAUUCAGUGUAAGAGAUCAGUUUGAAUUACACUCAAAACUGAAAGCAAACACCAGUUUGAUAAAAGCCAAAUGGAUAAUGAACCAUUAUAGAGCCAAACUGAACCAAUGAAUUAGUUUGGAUUGGUUCGGCUACCUUUGCCCAGCCCUACUCUUAAUAACGCAAUUCUGAAUUCCUGAUAUAAAGUGAAACAUUCCAAAAUUCUUAAAAUUCACUCAAGUAUGUCCUCCCACCUUAAAAUAAUACCAUAUAACCUCUCCAAUUAUGGUAACUGCUGUGGAUACCAAAUGCACAGCUAACAUCUGCACUUGUUAUUAAGCAAAAACUUCACCAUCCUGAAUAUUCAGGUGGAUCAACCCAAAUCACAUAUCUGAAAGGCCCAAUAUUCAUGAAGGAAAACAAUUUUAUCAUUUCCUAGGUAGAAUAAAGGAAUACAACAGUUAUGGGGUAGUUUUUCCAACUGUUGGACGACAUCAAUAUUUCAGUAUUAAGCCAUUAGCAAUAUUGAAAAGGUAUACAAAGUGAGUAUGUUGUAAUAAAACAAAAUACAAAAAGCAAGUUUGGAGCAACUUCCACAUUACAGAGCACCCUAAAACCAAAAACAGCUCUGGCGUCUUUAUUCUAGAUCAUAUCAGGAUCUGAAAUUACAUUACAUGAUGCUACUAAUAACACUACAGAUGUGAUCAGAAAUUUUUUUAACAGAUUACAUUAAAUAUUCAACCAUAAAUGCUGCCAGGUGAUAACAAUAUAUUUCUCCAGAAGAAAAGAUAAAUACUCAAAAUGUUGUGGAUAAGCAUAACUCACCCUCCUAUCAUUCUUUGUAUGCGAUUGACGAAGGUAGAACCGGUGACAGAAUAUUAUUGCCGUAGCAAUUGUUAUCUGGGGUCUGCAAUUUAAGGAACUCAAAUUAACUAUCUAGUGAUCAAAAACUGCAAAUUCAAUAGAAAAAAUGGAAGCACAGCUGUGCAAAAAAGCACUAUAAUACAGUACGGGUAGAAGAGCAGCAAUAAGCUCACAAUGCAGUGGGGAAACAACAAUACUCCCAUCCUUACCUUAAGAAUGAUCCUUCUAAGAAACCAAAAUAAGUAUAAAUAUAUUUUUCCAAAGCAAAUACUCUUAAGUUGAGAGCAGGAUGUAGUAAGCAAACUAACAAUAUGCAAAUAAGCCCGAGAAAAGAUUUAAGGGUCAAACCUUCCCUGACGUUCAAACUAAAUCCUCUCAAAUUGUAUCUCAUAGUAUCACAUCAAAGUGUAAUUAUUAUUUUAUCAGAUAAGGAGCAGAAAAAUUAAACACAUCCAACUGAAAAGCAUAGACUCACACUUUAAGUUUCAUGCCCAAGUCUUGCAGAAAUGUACAGUAUGACUUGCGUAGAUAAGUCUCCCUUUUCAAGUCAAUGCCAUCUCGUCUAGAUGGGGAAUCUUCCUCAAGUUCUUUUCUAGAGAAAUACCAACGGCCACCAUCCUUUGGCAUAUCCUGAGAAAACUCAGACGGCUCACCUUUAUAAAUUCCAUGAUGUGAGGAAUCGCCAGGCAGCAAGUUAGCCAUUUGCAUUCUGGCCAACCAGCUCCGUCAAAUACUAAUAUCAAUGGUCUAUCUGGCUGACAGACAGACAGACAGCAUCGCCUUCCUGCCAAUGUACCGCCAAGAUGCAUAAGUGACAAAAGGCUAAAGAUACCAUGCUUUAAAAGAAACUAAUGAUAACAAUUUCAAAGCAUCAAAAUCAAGCAGGAUUUGAACCUUAAGACAUUCGGUACAAAAUCAUUUGCUGCAGUAGAAUAACAACUAUGACCAAUUGCAGUUUAAUCAAUAUAAAGUUGACAUCAUUCAAUAGGGUAGCAAAAAAUAAAAAUAAUAGCAUUUAAAAUCAUAACUUUUAUAUCCAAACAUCAUACUUCACUCCAGCAGAAACACAAAAGUACAUUCUGGAAAAAUGUCAGGCAUUAACAUACAUACUUAUCCAAAAGCUUAGUUUUAUAAUUCACAUAAAUUUGGCUACUUUCCCAAAAACUGCUUCAAUUUUAAAAAUCGAACAGAAAUUCUAACUACACUCGGAAAACUCCAAAAAAUAUGUAGGAAAUUUUCUAGCCAAGUGAAUUAUAUAAAUCAAAGGCCUGAAUUUUAUUCCGAAAAAUUACCUUAAAAAAUUAGCAGAGCGACUCAAUAUUCCAAUAAUUUAAAGCAAUUGAACCUGCAAAAGUACUGAGGGAACCACUGGAAUUAAUUAAAGCGAUUAUAAUGAGAGAGAGAAAGAGAAAGAGAAAGAGAGGGGAUUUUAAAUUUUAGAAUUAGGGUUCAUAGCAUUACCACUGGCACUGAAGAGAGAAAACUUCGCCGUUUUGAUGAUAAUUUAGGAGGCCCGCCUGAAGAGGGGCUGAGUGAGUGAGGUCAGGCCGCACUGCCGCAGGCCUAUGUUUUAUGUAUGAAUGAAGUAUGAAUGAUUGAUCACUUCCUCCCUAGGUCAUUGAAAUAUGCCAACUAUGAUACUUUUGCCUUCAUGCUUUUGUUUCUAUGAUUUUCUUUUUGUUUUUGUUUUUGUUUUUGCUUUUUGACAUAUGGUUGAAUGAUGUAGUGUAUGGAUAAUUCAAUAUAAUUAUCCAACAAAGGUAACAUUAGAAAACUUACCAUUUAAAUUGUAACAUCCAAUAGACUUACCAUGUAAAUUCUGUAAAAUAAAAUAUGUACAUAUAAUAACAUACCUAUAUUUUAUCAAAUAAAUAAAUUAUAAUUACUACAAAACAUCCACAAUUCUGUGAUAAAGGGUUCAAUUCUUCUAAAUUCGAGGCUUGAUUUUAGAAUCGUAAUCUAAUGUUAAAAACAAAACAAAAGGUAUUUAAAAAACCUUUGCAUUAUGGGGUACACCAUACAAAUGAAUUAAUAAAUAAAACAAUAAAAAUCCGUUGUUUAACUGGCAAUAAGUUGCAAGAAAAUAAGACACCUGCCUUCAAAACUUAUAUACAACAAUUGCCACCCCAUUGCCCCCCCAAGUCAUUCAAUCAAAAUUUUCAGUUCCUAGUGAUUCUCUGUCACUUGAUGGAGUAGGCAACAUUAUUACACUCCAAAUACACCAAUUGCAAAGCCUGAGGUGGUGAGGUGACCGUGCAUUGAUAACGUUUCAUGUGUUUGUAGGCAGACCCUUCACUUGAUACCUUCUCAGUGGUUUAAAGCAACUGAAUUGUAGGAUAAAGGGGAUGGCAUAAAGAAACAGCAUAACUUGCUUGAGACAAAGAGACCAGAAUCUAUAUGGCAUAUGCUUAUCCUUCACAUCGUUCAUGUAACCGUCCAACGGACCACAUAUGACAACUCCAUGUUAAAGAUGGUUACUUGCUCUUGACUAUGAAAGUUGCAAAAUGAUUUAUCCAACAGAGCCUUUUGCCAUUCACAUUGAUCUAUACUCUCUACAUUUUCCCAUUUCACUUCACUGGUCUGACACCAACAGUUCUUACACGGAAUCUGUACUGAGGCUGGGACUCUUCCUCGUCAUUGUCGUCAUCAUCUUCGCUGGAGUCGUCUUCAACUCUGUCCCACCUUGCAUAGUCCAGAGUUGAAUGUCCCUUUGGUUUUGGGAUUGCUUGCCAUCCUUUGGAAUCUUGUACAGUUGGUUUCUUGGAAGUAUGGUCUAGAGCAGUUGCUUCAUUUAUAUUGGUUCUUUUAGGCUCAGCUCUCUGUUUUAUUCCUGGUUCGGAAUUACCAUUGAUGCCGGGUGUUUUAGGCGCUUUGACUUCCGGCUCUCCUUUGUUGUCCAUUUUUAUGACUGGAGCAACUGCAUCUUCUUUUUCGUCACUUUUUCCCUCUUCUUCCUCAAUUCCAUAUGGCCCUGCCUGAUUUAUCUCUUCUUCCUCUUCUUCUUCUUCUUCUUCGAACUCGGCUUCGGAUUCAGGUAUUGGAGCAAGUGACUUUCCUUGAGCAAAAGAAAGAAUUAAUUUGUCACUGACAGUAGAAACUUACAUAUACGAUAAUCUCAACUAAAAUAAGUUUUCAUUCCUCUGUACACUGAAAAAUGAAUGAAUAAAUAAAUAACAGCCUCCCAUAAAUUUUCCCAGAUGUUUCUUCUAUCAGCCAUUUUGAUAUUGAGAGAAAAGAUCUUAACAGGAUGGAAAUAUGAGGGUCUACCAAUUGAGUCUUCAAACGAGCUUGAAGGUUUUGAUAAACUUCUGAAGAUGGAUUCAACUCAAUAAGUCUGUUGACAUCAAAGAGAGCCGAGUUGUACUCCUUCAAAGUGACUAGUGUCUGUGCCCGCAGCAUCAGUGCUCCAGUGUGAUUGUAAUCAAGCUCAAGCACCGAGGUACACUCUUCUGCCGCCUGAGAUGCAGGUAACAGUUUCAAUUGACACUGGACAAAUCAAUUUUGGAAGAAAAGGUGUAAAAGCAACUACAUUCUAAAACUACAACCACAAGUAAAAAUACACUUAACCAGCUUCCCGGUGUAAUCCAAAUUCAUGUUUACCACACUGUCAUUUCAUUAGUUACACCAAACUCUUUAGUGCCUUGCGAAAUAAUAAACCAUAAUAGAUGGAGCUCGGAAUGCUCAUAUACACAAUGAGUUCCACGGUUCAUAAUACUUUAGCACCGAGCAGCUCUUUCGAAACCACAUGGAGGCAAGGUGAAGCUCACUAGCUAAACCCACAUGUUUAGUAUCGAUAAACUCUUUCACAAUCAGACUGACUUGUUUUUUGUUUUCAUUUUUAAUUAAUUCUCUGGUUUUAAAAUAUUACAUUUCUCAACAUUCACUUCCCAUAUCUCCCUCCAGCAUAAAUUAUAUGCACUAUUUCAUUGAAUUCGCGUUAUGUUUUCAACGAAAACAUUUCAGUAAAAUCCAACAUAAAAAUGUAAAUUAACAAUUUAAACUAUCUUCAAAUUUGUAUCUAAAAAUCCAUAUCGUCAAAACAAAUUCACAUUUUAUAUGUAUUCAAAUAAUUCACAUUAAUCUGAGUUCAAAUUCAAAAAUUUUCCACUCUAAAUUUCAAAUGAAAUAGUAAAAAGAAUAAUACUGAUAGCGGAAAACAAAAUAUCUUCAAAUUAGCAUCGAAAGAGACGAGAAGAUGAACCUUUUUGAAAUCGUGGAGCUUCAAAUAACAGGCGGCUCUGUUACUAUGCAAAGCGAUCUUCUGCUGUUUAAUUUUGGCCACAGAGAGCGCCUCCGUGUAGAACCCUAACGCCUCCUCGUAACGCCCGUCUCGGUACAGCUGGUGGGCCCUUUCAAUCUUGUUUGCCGGCGCUGCCGGGGACGCCAUCGCAAACAACGAUGGCGAUGACGUUUGAUCGAGAGCCAAUAAAUCUGGACCGUCCAAAUUCGAAAUUCGGAAAUCUUCCGAAUGAAUACUUGCUGUGCUAUUAAAUCUAUAAAUAAUUGAAAAACAAAUAAAUAAAUUUAUUUAUUGAACCAGAGAGAGAGAGAGAGACGAGAGCGGGCGUUUGGCAGGUGGAGCUGUUAUUGAUUUAUAUUAGCGUAGGAGGCGUUGGAAUGAGAUUAGUGUAAGAUUUCAGACAACGAGUUUCCUUUUCGUGAUACAUCAUGUAGUGGCAGUGUGAAGUUUGAAAAAUAUUGGAGAGUUGUUCGAUGUGCCAGGUGGCAUCAUCUGGUUCGAUCCCGCCAACCAGCUUUGCCUCAAUAUCGGUGAGCCGUGUCAUAUCAGAUGCCACCCUUUCCAUUUUACUUUUAUUUUUCUGGUAUAUCAGUUAUUGUAAUAAUUGUUUUAUCAUUAAAAAAAAAUUCAAGAAAAAUCGAAACAGUUCUAAAGCUUUUUCUGCAACACACGCAUAUAUCAUUUUCUAGCGUGGGAAAAAAUCAGAACAAAGUGAAGAUGUUAUUAAAAAAUAAAAAAUAAAGAUUUUAAUAAACUAAAUGAUAUAACAAUUCAAUUUUUAAUGAAUUAAAAUUUAUAUUUUUUUAAUUAUUUUAAAUCGCCCGUUUUAAAAACGUAUCCGAAUUAAAAAAUAUAUAUAGAUGCCUCCACUCGAGAAAGACUCUCGUUCUAUAUAUAAAAAAGCAUAUUAUUUUACAUAUAUGCUUGUAACUGCAAUACUUCCUCCAUAAUUUUGAUAGAUAGAAAAUCUCCUCUUCAAUAAUAACAAACACAUCGCGUGCCACAUAAGAGAUAUUAUAGAUAUUAUACUGUAUUGCAUUUGUGUAGUUAUGGUAUUGCAAAAGUGAAAUCCGUUUUUUUUUUUUUUUUUUGAGGAAUUUAUUUAUAUAAAAAAAAAAAACAAUUCUAGAUUAAAACUCGUGUCCCUUUUUAUUUGAAAGAGAGAUUUUUUUUAUUCAGCAUCAUAAAAAAAAAAAAGGCCUUGAUUAAAUUAGAAAGAUAAUUGAGCAUGUGUUAGAACUUAGAACCCAAAAAAAAUUAUAUAAGUAACUGGUUUAUUAUAUUACCCAAUAAAUGAUGAUAACAACCACAACUUAACUUCAGGUGAGGUCACAGCAGUUUUCAUCAACCCAGGGUUGCAGCAUAAAUUGUUAACUUAAGCUAAAUCCUUCAACUGCAUCCAAGCUCGAAUGAGGUUCCUCCUAGUUUGAAUUGCUGUCCAGCACCGGCAAGGUUUUACAUAAAAUUUCAACUGCUUGAUCAAGCUCCUGCUCUGAUAUGAUCAGUGGUGGUACUAGCCUCACAACAUUCCCUUUACCAGCAGUGAGUACAAGAAGGCCAGAGUCUCGACAUGCAUCAACCACAGGCGUGGCAGAUACGUCGAACUCAAUUCCAAUAAUUAGCCCGAGUCCACGGACAUCUUUCACAUGUGGAUUUCUUGCCAGUUUCUGCUUUAAAGUUUCUUUGAAGUAAUGGCCUUUCUUGGAGACACUGGCCAAGAAAGCAGGAUUGGAGAUUUUAUCUAGAACAGCAAUGGCAGCAUUGCAGACAAGGGGACUGCCGGCAAAAGUGCUUCCAUGGUCACCAUAAUUUAUGGCAGAUGCAACUUUUUCAGUUACUAAUGCAGCUCCAAUAGGAAGGCCUCCGGCAAGAGGUUUGGCAAGUGUCAUUAUAUCUGGGAAGAUACCAUAGUGCUCAUGAGCCCAAAGGUAUCCUGUUCGGCCUAGACCACAUUGAACCUGCACCAGGACAAAAUGCCGACUACAAUGAACCAUAAACUACUAAUAGUUGACUGCAGAAAGCAGUACAAGGCUAAUUAUCUGGCUUUAUAUGUAAUACAAGUGUGGUAAGCAUGCAAAAGUUUUAAAAUCUUCUACAUUCCAAAACAAAACCUUCAGAACUAAAAGCUAUCAGUGGCAAGCAAUUUGAAAUAUGGAAACAAAGAUUAGCAUAAAAAAAAAAUUAGUGACACCUCACAAAUUACUUGUCUUAGUUAUUUGUAGGAUCAGGCAAAAGGAAACUAUGUGAUGUCUUGAAUCUGUUGAACCAUUGGAAAAGAAUGGUAAAGUACUAGCUUCAUUCAAAGAAGUGGAACGAAUGAAUGAUCAGUUGAGUUUUAACACUGCAAACCAAGCAUGAUCAGGGAAAAUACAGUAAUUCAAGUUGAAUUUGCUAGACCAGGGGUAUUUGCUUCUAAAUUUAAUAGACCUGGACAAGAGGAAAAAGUCCUUGAUCAAGGGACUUUGCCUCUCUGUCCAACUAUGGCACCAUACAAAUGGUUUUGUUUAUCCACCAGAUUGAUAAGCUGCCAACUUCUGAUUAUUACCAUAUUGCAGGGUAUUUCAUAAUCAACAUCCUACACAAAAAUGAAUGCACAUGUUGGAGUGUACCUUAUAUAUCAGCACUAUUUCAACUGAUCCAUAUCAAAUCUAAAUGCUUAGAAAAUGUAGUAUGAUCAUAGCACAGAAUAUGCCAGUUGAAGGAAUGGUGAAACUGUUUUGAGAAUAGGACUCAAAUCAUCUCUCACUCUAUGGCCAAAUCAGCCCUAAGGAAAUUAGACUCUAAUAUAUGGCUGGAUGAAUUUCCAGUUGAUAUUUGUUCUCUUCGUGAGUAAUAAAAGGUGUACUUUCUCUUCACAAAAAAAAGGACCAAAUUCCCAAGUUUAAUCACGAAGGUUAAGGGCUUGGUCACAAAAGGGGAUUAGAAAGGCCAUAUCAGUCAAGGUUUACAAUUUUACAGUAUCAGCUACCACUAAUAGGACUCAAUUUGCAAAAACUUAAAACUGGUGAUGGCACAUGUUCAUGUGAAUAAACAAUAGGCACUAACCAGUUAUUGUAAUCUCUGGAAAACAAACAACAAUUUGUGCUUUGAAAAUUUGAUAUAAACCUUAAACUCUAACAUAUAGUCAGUAAAUUUAGAUGUAAUUAUAAAGUGGCAACGGCAUAUUACCUCAUCGAAGACAAGGAGAGCCCCAGCAUCAUCACAAGCAUCACGUAAAAAUUGUAAAAAUUCUUUAGUUGCACUGUAUAUGCCUCCUUCACCCUGGAUGGGUUCCACAAAAACUGCUGCAGUUUUACCAGGCUGAAUCAAUUUUCUGGUGGCUUCUAUAUUUCCAUACUCCACAAAAUUGACUCCAGGCAUGACAGGUUCAAAAGGUGAUCUAUAGUGCUCUUUGCUCGUCAGAGCAAGAGCACCCAUGGUCCUCCCAUGGAAACUAUUGGUGAAAGAUACGAACUCUGUGGCUGGCUCUUUGGAAUCAGGAUUUGAGUGUCUCUGGAACUUUCUGGCAAAUUUAAUAGCAGCCUCAUUUGCUUCCGUUCCAGUAUUGGAGAAAAACACACGAUCAGCAAAAGAACAAGCCACCAAACGCUUAGCAAGCUCUAUCUACAAGAAACAACAUAACCAAUCUUUAGACGAGAAAAUACCCACUAAACCAAUUUAACAAAACCCAUUAGUGUUAAGGUUAAAUAUACAGUAAGCUAGAUACACAACAUGAGAAUCAUAAAACUUAUUUCUGCAAUACUACUGCUUCACGCAACUGCCAAUUGCCAUCAAUUUCAAUAAGCAUGACCUCUUAGCUCCUAAUGUUCCCAUUUCUACAGGUUUCCAUUUACAAGUAAAAAGGGCAAAAGCAUUAUGACAAUGUUGAGAUAUAUUUCUCCUAGAUACUCAAUACCUAACAUAUCCAUCAACAAUCACCCCUCGAAAAAUUCCAUAAUACAUCAAAAUUUACAUGAAUGCAAAACUUAUCAGGUGCCAACUUCCACAUUUCGAUAAAAAUCCGGACAAACAACUCUCUAUUCAAAGAGUUGCUCAAAAACAACUCUUUAUAGAAAGAGUCCUAGCAAAUUUAUGUCUUUCAGCAAUUACUUGGAACUCAAUGUCAUAUUAAACUUCAAUCAAUUCUCACAAUGCUUCCGCAUCCUCUAUAAAUAAAUUAAUGGAAAGCAUAAUGAAGAAAAGUAAUGAACCUGAGGAAUGGAAUAAUACAUAUUGCUAACAUGAGUCAACACAUUAGCUUGAUCAACAACAGCCUUGAUCCAAUCAGCAUCCCCAUGUCCAAGCGCAUUCACAGCAAUCCCCGAGCUCAAAUCCAAAUACUCUCGCCCUUCAGCAUCGUACAAUUUACAUCCUUUACCACUCGCCAGCACAACUGGUGCCCUAUUGUACGUCCCCACGAGUAACUUCUUCUCCGCCUCCAUCACCUCCUUGUUGUUCCUCCCCAACCCCCCCGCGCUCCCACGCGCCGCAUCGUUCACUUCCACGUUCACACUUGCCGCCGCCACCAUCGGUCGCCGUUUUACGCCGUUGAAUUUGAUCUGGCGGCGGAGAUUGCCCGAUUGUGAGAGUGGAACUUGGAGUGGUGCUUGAAACGUCGAGCUCAUUGCGUUCUGCAUGGUUAUGUGAGGCUGUUUGUUUCCCGGGAAAAAGCGGGAGAAGAAAAGAAAUUAGGAGGAAAAUUACCGAAAAAUUGAAAUUAAAAAAUGUGGAAUUUAAUUAUUUGUUUGCCUGAAAAUUUGUUAUGAUUCUGUUCUGUGUUAGCGUAAGGUUUCAGCGGCGGCUGGUGUCGUAAUAUUUUCUGACGUGGAGAAACGUGUAAGAAAAGGGAAAUGUUAGUUGCCCGGUCAAACCCGAAAGUAAAUCAAAACGACGGCGUUUGAUUUUUUUUUUUUCACUUCUCCAUAAAACGUACCGUUUGAUCUAGGCAAAAGCAAACCCAAACGUCUUCCUCUUCUCUUCGUUUCACCAAGGAAUGACAUAACCAAAUCCUCCUCUCUUAUUCGUUUUGUUCAUUUUGUUUGUCAAAAACAGUAUAUUCUCUUUCCUUCCUCGAUCGAGAUCCACCACAAUCCGCCAUUUGCGAUUCAUUCGCUGAAAUUUCCUAAGUCAAACGGCGACUCACAAUAUUAAUACUCGGAUUAAAUCAUCCUCAUGUAUAGGAUCGAUAACUCCCCACCCCUGUGAGAGUGGAAUUCAAAUUCAAGAUCUCUUAUUCCCAAAUAUAUAUAAUAUAUUCUCAAUAUAAUUGUCUCAUUAAAUCCUCUGUGUGUAUCUUGCAGAUUGUAAGUUGAUAAAGCAGCUGUUUUUUUGCUUUUUACUUGGGUCAAGCGAAAAAAAUAAUCAGCUGUUUCUCUUCGACAAAAAUAAUUAGUAUACGAUUAGCAUGUAAAUUGGAUUGGAUUGGAUUAAAUAUUAAAAUUAGAUUAAAUUAGAUUAGGUUAAAUUAUAUAGUGAUGACUUGUGUUUGGUAUAGAAUCAGAUUGGAUUAUGUUAAAUUAAAUUUAAAUGAAGUUAAAUAGUAUUUAAGUUAAUAUUUUAAUUUUAAUUUAAAUUAUUUAUAGAUAUUUAAUAAGAAAUAUCAUAAUUAAUUAAAAAUAAAUGUAACUAAAAUUAUAUAUAUAUAUAUAUAUCUGUGUGUGUGUGUGUGUAUUCAAUUAUUGGGCAGUUAUAAUUAUAUUAAAGAAAUAUAAAUUAUUUAAAUUAUAGGUAGUUUCAUAUGACCAUAUGAGAUAUAUCAUUUCAUUAAAUAAAAUAAAAUAAAUCUAUUCAAAUAGUAAACUGAUUAAUAAAUUUUAAGUAAAUCAUGAAUAAAGAAAUAAAUUACUAAUAAAUUACUUAAUAAAUAACAAUAAGUAAAUAAAUAAUUUUUAAAGUUAUAAAUAAAAAUAGUGUAAUAAAUUAUAGAAGACACCAUAAAUAGACAAACAUUUUUCUUCUCAUUGUGAAAUCCUAGUUAAAUCCACACGAAAAUUGGGACUAUUAAUCUCAUGAAUUUAGGAUUAAAAUUUGAAUUUAGUCCAAUCCGAGUGAGCAUGCCAAAUAUGGGAUUAAUACUUUGUCCCAAAAAUUAGUCCAAUUCUACACUUAAUCGUAACUCCCAAAUAUAGCCUAAGAGUCUUUUCUUUUUCAAUAAGGUUAUAUACUCAUUACACUAGAUGGAAAAAAAAAAUUUCAAUAAAAAAUAAAAGAAAAUUUUGCUAUAAUAAAUUUUUUUUUUUUUGUCUCUUAUAAAUGUUGAACUAAUUGUUGAAGUAACUUUUGUACAUACGACACUAUUCUUUGCUUUUAACAAAUGUUAGAAAAAUUGUAUAAUUGAGUAAUACUUUGGGGGCUUAUUUUCUCUUUAUACAAAUUACAAAUAUUUCAGUAAUUUUAUAAAGGAUCAGACCACGAUAACUCAAGGCUACCGUACCCUGUAAAUUGGACACACUCAAAUUUUUAGAUUUUGUUGAUUUGAUUAUCUAAAUUGUAAAUACAGUACCCUAAAAAUAUCAUAGUCACGACCUUUUAUAAAUUGAGUAUUCAUUAAAAAAAAAAACAAUAGUACAUUUUAUUUUUUUUGAAAUGUUGUAUUAAGAAAAACAAAAACCUCUCUCUCAUUCAUCAUAAGAAGAGUUUUUAAACUUGAAACAUGUAUUACUCGUUGAACCAACUAAUAACACUCAUAAAGAUAAUUAUAUAUUUGGUAUAAAGAUAUCUUAAGAGAAAGGGUAUUGUAUAUUUGUAUUUGUAUGAAUUGAAUGUAAUAUAAAACUCUAUCUUCCUAAGGGGAGUUCAAAUCUUGAACAUCUUGUACCAUUUUAAGAAAAAUUUUAAUUGUUCAACUGACACCCGCUAUUAAUACAACAGAUAAUUAUUAGAAUUUUUAAGGUACACACGCAAAAACUAACCUUAAUCUCUAAAAAUUAUUCAAACAACGACAUUCACAUUAUAGAUUGUCCUUUAGUUAGCAAUAAACUAUUAUUAUUUUUCAGAGUUUUUUUUUUUUAAUCGUAAUUUGAAUAUUUUCAACUGCAAAUUUUAAGUUUGAUUCUCUUGACAAAAUAUAAUUGCUGAUGAAUUGACAGGAAAAAGCUAUAUAAGUAAGAAAAUUGCAAGCAAAUUAAGGGAAGUUAAUAAAAACGGAUCCAUAUAUAAGUAACGUUUUAUUUAUCUCUUAUGAUGAUCUUAAAUUAUUGAUUUGUUACAUAUAUAUUUAAAAUGAAACUAAAUCAAGUCGCUAAUCGAUCAAUGAUCGCCAGUGCUAUUCCAGUAAGUUCUUCGUAAACCCUAAUCUGGUAAAAGGCAUCAUACACACCUUGCUUUUCACUGUAAGGCUCCAAACUUGGCUCACACCUUUGGACAAACUCAUCACUUAAAGCCAAGAUCACAAAAUGAUUAGCAUUAUCAUAAUCACCACCCUUCAGCUUAGCAUCUGCUUUAGAUAGAGUCUUUUUGGCCUGCGAAUAACCCUUGCUGCAAUUUUCACAAGCCGCCACAAGUUUUUUAUCAGAGGAGUACGUUGAAGCCAAAGAUGACAUGUUUUUUACCAAAGCUUCAGCGUGGUUGCUCAGGCAUUUUAUGGCUAUGGCGGCAAUAUCGGUUGACUUAUCGGCUUUUUCGCCAGCGGGGUCGGAUUUUACGCACUGAACGCAUAAUGUUGGUACUUCUGUGUCCCGACACAUUUGCUCGAUGAAUCUGUCGUCUGCUUCAACAAGACUGUGGUGAGUUUGAAGUAGAAGAAUGAAGAGAAGAAGGAAAUGAUGGAGACUGGGAGCAAUUGCCAUGUCUAAAAUUUUAAUUUUGAACCGUGAAUUGAAAUUAAAGGCCUUCAGACUUUAUUAGCUAGUAGUGUAAUAUAUAAUAGGGAAAUUAUCAUUUUACUACUAAAGUUUUACUGAUAUAUUAUAUCAGCACCAAGGUUUGCUGAAAAGUGUAUUUUACUGUCAAAGUUUUGCGCCAUUAUCAAUUCACUACCAUUCCGUUAAGAAAAAGUUAAUGUUUAAUGGAAAUUGAAUUAAAAGUCGAUUUUACCCCCAAGAAUUUGGUAGUAAAAUGAUAAUUUCCCUAAAAAUUUGGUAGUAAAAUGAUAAUUUAUCUAUCAAAUUAGCAGACAAUUUUACUCUUAUAGUUAGAAAUAUCUUUGAUGCCCUUAUGACAUCAGCAAAUUUUUAACGUUGUUAACGGAAUAGUAGUGAAUUGAUAACGACGCAAAACUUGAGUAGUAAAAUACACUUUUCGAUAAACCUUAAUACUGAUAUGAUAUGUCAGUAAAACUUAAAUAAUAAAAUGAUAAUAUCCCCAUAUAAUAAAGAAGAGUCAUUACGAAUUUUAUGUAGGCCCACAAGUUGUGGGUCCACAUUUUUUAGUGCAAUAGUUACCAUAAAAGAUUUUGUAGGCCCCAUAUGUGUAUGUGGCCUCAGAAGUAAUGUUACGUAACUUGUGCAUAUAAAAAUCUUAUUGCAAUAAAUAUAAGCCCUACAAGUUAAUGGUUUGAAAGGAUAAGUUAAUUAGUCUCUAAAGUUAAGUAUUAAUUAUUUAGUAAUUGGUUUUAUUUUAAAAAUGACCCAGAAUAUUCUAUUUGAAGGAUCGAUGUUUCAGAUAUUCUGUGGCUCAUCUAUUUAUAAAUUAAAAUUGGAUGUUCAAUUAAAGAGGAUUACUCUUAUAGAAAUGCAUUAAUGAGAAUUGAGAAGUUCAACUGAGUACGUCAAAAUCUUAGCCUAGGAAAUAAAAUUGGACGAAAAGGAGAUUUGUAAUUAUCACGAAGAAAAUACUCAGAAGUUAAACGUCAACAUUUUAAGCAUUAAUUCCAGAGGAAAAAGAUAACUUGCCGACAAACUCCCACACACAGACACAGAAAUGUUUCAAUUCAGAAUCUUCAAUAUAUUAAUGUAAUGCCUGUAAAAACUAUUUAGUCAAAUUAACACUAUAUAUAUAGAGAGUUUGAUUCUCUAUACAGGAGAGCUGAUAUUAUGAGCGCCAUCGCGAAUCAAAAUUCUUCUUUAUAUAAGGAAUCGCAUGAAAUAAAUUGACCAAUAACAAACUAAGUGCAUAUGUAAUGAAUAAAUUGAGGAAAAUACAAAGAGGUGCAUACUUAAAAGAAUUAACUGGGCAAAGCCACAAGUGGUUGGCCUUAUCAAAGUUACCAUGUAUUACAUUUUUACUAUAAUUGAUAAUGAAGUAUUCUCUCCUUUAUUGAGGAAAAAAAAUCCACUAACGAGCAUGAUUAAUAAAUUGACAAUCAAUCAAGUAAAUUAGUUUGUAGAGUAUGUAAACUAAUUGAAGGCUAUAUAUUGAUUCUUAUAUAUUCAUUAGAAUAAUUAGAAUACAAAUAUUUCGUAUAAAUUCUAUUGUGUACAAAUUGUCAUAACAUAAAAAUAUUGUUUCGAUGAGAAAUUCAACACAAAAGUGUUGAAAGUCUUGAUGUUAUUAUAUAUAUUGAAGUCCUGAGUACUGUCUCCCAUGUCAAAAAUAAUAAGCAGUCUAAAGCUUCAAUUUAAAAAAAUCUUAAAAGGAAACCCUAAGAGCUAAUAACGUGCUAUUAUUUGGUGGUCAGCUGAUACAUUUUGCCAACUUAGGAUGGACAAUUGAUACACCUUCAAAGUGUUGUAGUAUUUUUGAUAAUAGAGUAAACUAAGGGUAUAUAAAUGAUAAUUUUCCUUUAAAAAAAUCUUAAAAGGAAACCCUAAGAGCUAACAACGUGCAGAAUGGAACGUGAAUGUUGAUUAAAUAAGGAAAAAAUUGCACAAUUAAUAAAUAUUUCUUUAAGGUUAAUUAUUGACCGAGGUAGUUAGGUAACAGUGAAAAUAAAAACUAACAAUAAUUUACUAGCUGAUCAUAAUCACAAUUCACGACAACAUGUAUCCAAUUAAUUAAUAGCUCUUCAAUUUCAGUAACUAAAAAUAUCAGAAAUUAUCUAAGUCUUCUAAUGAUAUGCCAAGACUGAAAUCUUCUAAGUCAACACCUUCGUCAUUCGCAGUUGAUGAAUCGAAGAGUAUUUUCUCCAAGUCUUGCACAUUGAACCAUUCACUAGUAUUAUUUGAUGGCGGCGGCUGAACAAGACCACUCAUGCUAUUUCUCACAGGCCCGUCAUUAUCACCGCUCAUCAGCUCUUCCCUUUUCGGUUGUUUCUUCUUAAUUCGGCAGAUAACAUAAUCACCGAUAUUGUUAAUCCUUGCGUUGCUUAUCGAGAUACCAUCAAGGCGAUAUUCAUGCAUCACCCAUGUUCCCUUUAUCACGCCACCACGGCUCCCUUCUUUUGGAACGUACGUGAAGUUCCGGCGAGAACCAAUGUGUUGCUUCUUGAUGAUCUUGUCACCAGUCUUGUUAUAGCGGUGACGGUAAAUUCUAGUAUUCUUCUGUGAUCGCCAAGUGCCACAGUUGGUCUCCCUUUCCACUUGAACACCGUUUUCGGUUUUCUUCUUCAAUGUGGUGAAAAAAUAGAGUGCAUUUUCCCCUGUCCGUUCAAAGAUUCGAAUCCAUACAUUUUCAUCGCGGUAGACAUCAAUAUUGUCAAUUACAGCCGAGGUUGAAACAGGCCGACCAUGGACCUUGUUGUAGAGGUAAUGCGCCACAAUCUCUUCAUCAGUUGGCGCAAAUCUAUAACCAGGAGGUAGUGCUGGUAGUUGGUGUCUUUCCAUUAAACCCUAGCUAAAAAGCAAUCAACUAAGAGUAGUCUAGACCGAUUGCUUUAAUGUGUUCGUAGGCUUAUCAAAUUAAAAAUCAUAAUUACGAAGAUCAUGAAUUGUAUUUAUAGGCAACGUACGGUUUCCAUAUUCAAUAUGGAAAGGCUUUAAUUUAAUUAAUUUGCUUAAUGUAUGAGGAACAAACAAUCCCUUAAGUUUCCGCGUGUGUAAGGAAUUACAUUGUUUGUUGAACGAAAUAAACACAGAGACGGCAAAAACUUAAUGUCUAUGUGUACAUGAAACUAAUGUAGAGACGAAAAUUUGAUUAAGUUUUACUUGUAUUAAUUUUAUGUGACAUCAUAAUAAGGGUACUUGCACUUCAAGUCUUGUAGGAAUUUUACUAGAGAGUAAAAGGGUUAUCUAUUAUCUAUCAAUAAUUUUUCAUUCAUAUACAUAUGGUUCUUCACUCUCUCUUUUCCGUUGGAUUAUCAUAAAAAGCUCGUGCAAUAAAAUCAUAUUAUCACAUCAUCAAGAGCAUUAAGUUUCUAUUAAUUUAUCGAACCUCUGUUAAAUGUGUAUGAUUAAUUAGUUAACUUUGUUGAACUACUUACCAUAUGAUGUGGUGAGGUUAGCUAUAUAUUAUACGCUGAAAGCCCCGGCCCAAAUAAAAUAAAACAAAAGCUUAAACCUAAAGUGAGUCAUUUUUAAAAAUUUACAAUUAGCCCCCUCAGGUUCGACGUUUUUUUAUGCUUUUGCUCCCUAAGGUUCGUUGUUUCUACAUCACGACCUCCACUAAACCAGAAUUCUGCUUCCGCGGAGGCGGGAUGUGAGGAUAAUGAUGAUCACUUGGUUCUCAGAAAUCGGAAUGACACGAAACUGUGCCUUUAAUGUUAAUGUUAACUAAUUAUCUGCAGACGCCUGUCUGGUUUUAGAAAAACUAAUUAAGCAUUAAUAAAAUCCACUGCCUUCACGUCUCAAUGAUUGAUAUGGUCGAAUACGAUACGGUGUUAAUCAUCAAAAAUUAAAGACGUGGCUUCUUUACAAUUGUUGGGUGUUAAAAAAGAAAUUAUAUUCCAACUCUCAACUGCCAAUGUUCCGAACCUCCUUUUUAAUGGUAAUUGAAGCAUUUAUGAUGCUUUCAAUGUCCAACCGGGUUGGACAGAAUCACAUCCCAUCACUCAUUUAGACUGAUGUGUCCUCCUCUCCUUCUCUCAACACAAAAAUAAUUGGUGCAUGUGAUGCAUUUUGUCAUUUAUUUCUGUGAAUUCAAAAAGAGAAAACUUAUUCAGGACAGUCACGGCCACAUGAAUGAUUGUAAGUGCCAACUAAUUCAGUUGAUAAACUUUUAUGUAUAAAAGAAAAAGAAAAAAUCGACUGAGUUCGAACCCCAUUUACAUGAAUGAAGAGGUAAUUAAAAAAAAAACUGUCAUUAAACUAUGACUGAACAAAAUAUACAAGGAUUACUCUAUCAUGGUGUAAAUGUUAAUGAAAUGUAUAGAAAGUGAUCGCGAGAAGCAUUGCGCCGGACAAUGCAGCAUUUCAGAUGCGGCCUAACCUCACGUAUAACAUACGUUGAAUAUAAAAAAAAAAACACUACGGUCAUGGUAACAAGCUCAUGAUAACAAUCCAAAGCACAUGAUUUUAUGGUGCAAUUAUCUAAAAUGACUUCAGUCACCAGUAUGAAUUUGUGCACGUUUUCCCGCUCAAGCCAACCCAAUUAACGUAGCUAUAUAAUAGCUCAACAAGAAAGCAUGACAGUUCGACUACAAGUUGAAGCGUUCAAUCAAAUAUAGAAAGCUCAAACUCUCGGGAGUUAGAUGAAAGGCUUGCCCUACUAAAGGAAGUGACUAAACUUACUGCCAACGAAUGAAAGCUCUGUCACCUCAUUUUCUCUUAUUAGAUUAGCACCAUACAUAACUAACUACAAUAUACAAUAAAUUUUGUGCACAGAAAAAACAUCACCAUCCUUAAAUACAUCGGUCCAUCUUUAAUUUUUUUUUUUUUAAAAGGACAGAAAUGACUUGACCCACAUGAUUUGUUGCAUCAAUCAAAUUAAUAUGUAAAUUACGUACACAAUUUUGGCUCUGCUAGAAAUACAGAUAUAUAACUGCACUCCUUGCUCAGGUUUUUCCCAUUACUCUCUCCGAAUACCCUCUCCUUUUUCUACAAGAAAAUUAAACCUGAUCAUGUAUUACUUGUCUUUGGUGGCCUAUUAUGUCUUUUUUAAUGCAUGGAAAGUUCUUUAUUUUCUCUCUCUACUAGUUUUGGCUUCAUUUCACAUGUUUGUGCUGUCAAGAAGAAUGGGAAAUUUUCAAGAAUUAGCAGCUUUUGCUUGUGAGGAAAAGAUCUGGAAUAAUUUGUUCUGCCUGCAGUUUGAAGUGAACCCAGCAGCUGCAAAUACUUCAUUUUAUGAGGUUCCGCUGCUUGUUUCAAGGUUUAUUUGACGAUCCUUUUUGCUUUUUGCUUCAUCUAAUUUUCUUCUCCUAGACUUUUUUUUGGUAAAAGAAAAAGAAAAAGAAAGAGAAGACAAAUUGUGUAAUGAUGACAUAUAUGAGUGAAGUGAAGCAAAAGCUUAGUUCAUUGAUUCUCCUUAUUGGUUCAUGCAGUUCUCUGUGUGUGUGUGUGUGUGUGUAUACAUUCGACAAAUUAAUCGCAAAUUGAGAUGGUCAUAGUAUUCCAAGCAGCUUUUUUUUUUCUUUUAUUGGUGAUGACAUGAAAAUUAAAUAUUUUUACAUCUGUUGAAAUAGUUUUUGGAUAAGUAUGUAAACUUUCAUCAGCUCUAUAAAAAAAUCUUGGAUUCGCAUUGCCAUGCGGCAAAUAUAUAUCUUGUGAUGGUGUAACGCUUGUAGUCAUUUUGCAUUGUCAGCAGGAAGUAGAUUUCUUUCAAAGUUAUGGCCAUUAUCAUUUUCUCAUAAUUGAACGAACAGUAUAAUCCUUCGUAAUCAACCAAUUAACUCUUUGACUCUUUGGCUUUGGCUCCUUCAUGAAUGUGGAUGCUAUCCCAACUCUCAACUACCAAUCUCCAAUUCUCUUUUAUUAAAUAAAAUUGUACACAUGCUCCUAUAUUUUAUAUAUAUAUAUAUAUGUGUGUGUGUGUGUGUGUGGGCACCCUCAUUUUUUU